rnacentral:lncRNA from 1 species
AACUACAUUAACUAUUUAUACAAUAUCGAUACACUACAUAUAUAGUACAUAACUAUUAGUACAUUAUAUAUACAUAUUUAUACACCAUUUAUAUAAUAUUAAUACAUGAAAAAAAUUGCAUGAAAAGUCCUUUUAAAAGAAAAGUGAAAAAGUUUUCCUUUCAAUGAAAAAAAUGAAGCAAAAAAGUAACAAAAAAAUUAUUUUUUUCUUUCUUAAUUUACUGCUGAAAAUAAUAGAAAAAGGAUGAAAAUGGUCUAAUGGCCAUUUUAAGUAAUAUACAAAACUUGGUUAUAUUUAUUGUAAAUUUUUUAUUUUUUUAAAUAUAAAUGAAAUUUUUUCUUUAAAUAGUACACAGAUAUCUAACUUAUUAAAUUUAAUGAAAUAAAUUUAGUCAAAUAUUUUUAAAUUUUACAAAGCUAAUAUUAUGUUCAUACGUUUUUAAAAGAUUUUUAAAAAUUCGCCAGCUUCAUCAAGUUCUCGUGCAAAUUCAAUAUUUUCCAUGAAAGGUUUGAUAUACUAUUGCACAAGAGUUGCUACAUACACUUUUAUAAACAAGAACUAGUAGAACUAUCCGUUCUUUGCGCGAUUAAAAAUAUCUUAUUCAAUUAAUGAAAUGAUCCUCUUUACUUGUAAUAUAAUAUAAUGAUAAAAAUAGGUUGUGCACACCUAAAAAAUGACCCUCACUUUCCACAAUUAUAUAUUCCGAGAAAAUUACAUAUAUAUCUUCUUUUGAUUUUAAUUUGUACAUCAUUUUUGAAACUCCAAAUGUAAAUAUUUUAUUUUUAUUUAUCAUAUCUAUUAUGCUUUGAUGUUUUUGCUUGUAUACUUUGCAAUAGGCACGUAUUCCAUCCGUUUCAUUUUACCAGUCCCAAAUUGAUAUCACACAAUUAUUAAGAAAACUAUGAUCUAUAAAGUAACUUUAUCAUUUAACCCCUUUUAAUUGUAUAUCAUUUAACCCCUUUUAAUUGUAUAUUAUUAUCAAUUUCAAUAUUGAUAGAUGACUAAUAUCAAAGCACUAUUUAUAUUCUUAAUAAUAUACUCUUUGUAAUAUUUUUCAAGAAUGUUAAUAAUAAGGAAUAAUCAAUUAUACUAAGGAAAUAAUAAGAAAAAAAAUUAUCUUGAUAAGUAAAAACAGAGAAGUAAAAUACAACAAUAAAUUAGAAAAUUUGAGAUGGAGAAAAAUGGUACUAAGGGAGUAGUUGAGUUGAAUGUAGGAAAGGAAGCAGAGGCUUCAAAUCUGAAAACCAAAAACAGAAAAAUCAACUGACCAAACGCAUGGCCGCGGACAUAACAAUAAUUUAAGACAACUACAAAAUCAUUGCUCCACAAAUUUCAAAUACAAUUAUUGUAGAUUUUAUACUAAAUCAAGAGUGAAAGAUCAUUCAACAAUGGCAAAUUAUUUUUCAAUUAAACUCUACCAGCAGUUUCCUCGUUAUGAUAAAAAUUCCAAAGAAAAGAAUUCUUCAUAAAAACAAUUACUCGUCUUUUUAUAAAAAUAAAUAUGUUAAAAAAAAAGUCACUCAGUUCAGCGAGGUAAUCGACAUGCAAGCAAACUCUAAAAGAGGAGCCUGCAAUCCGGUCUGUUGAGCUUGAAUAUUAUGAAGUCAUCAUCGUGACACUUCUUCCACAAAUAAAUUAGAGUAAAAAGAAAAUUAGAAAACGUGUAAAAUUAAAAGAAAAAAAAAAGAAAUAAAAGAAAUUGCUUAAUCAAGUAAGAGCAGAUCAAGCUAUCAAACAUUAUCUUAUACGUAAAUACCAUUGAUCACAUUUUGUAUUCCAUGCGAAAUUGGUUUUUAUGAAAAUGUUUCAUGUAAAACUGAACAAUGAAACUACAAAUCCUUGAUUUAUAUUAUAACUACAUAGUAAAAACUCAUAUCAAAACAUUAAAACUACAACUUGACAAAAGAUAAUUAACUAUUAGCGAUUAUUAAGGAAAAGCAAUUAAAAUUCAAUUAGUGGUAACUCACAACAAAUCUAUAGAAGGAUUUCCAGAUCACAAAUCCAUACCACAGAAAAUGCAAUCAUGAACCAGGAAUUUCAGAGAAGGUACAUGUUAAAGCUAAGCAAAAGCACUCAAAGAAAACAUUUUCAUAGGAAGCGAUUGAACUUCGAAAGGUAUGACACAAGCCACCAUAUCAUCAUCAGAACGAUAAUCAAUUUCAUUCACAACCAUAACUAGUUGUGUCCAAAGGUGUCCUAAGAUUGAUCUGUGUCAUCAUUUGACUUAUGGCAACCAAUAAACUAAGAAAAAUGUUGCAAAAAAAAAAAAAAAAAAAAAUAUGUGCCACAAAUUAAAAACCAAAAGUAAAACUUGAAUUAAUAAACAGUAUGUGAUUCAGUUGCAACAUAAACAUAAUCACUAUUAUAAAAUCAGUCCAAGUGUUGGAAUUAAAAUAAUUGCUUCAUCAUCAUCACCAUUAGAACAAAAUAUAAAACGGCAGUUUCAUAAAUAGAAAAACAAGAAUAAAAGGUCAUUCAUCACCGAAAUCAGAAGAGGGAGCUUAGAUAUCCUCAUUAUGAUCUCAAUUUCAAAAAGGUCACUCCUGGGCUGAACAUUUGAGUCCAAUAAGUAUUAAUGGAUCGAAUCUCCUUCAGAGGUUAGGUUUGCACGAGAUUUACUUUUGGAAAAUUAUUUAAAACUACAAUAUAAGUUUAUAUUAUUACAUAAAAUUUUAAUUAUUAAAAAUAAUUAUAAAAAUCUCUUUUUAUUACUUUUUCUCUCCAAGUGUCGUAUACAUAUCUCAUCUAUCUUUUUCUUAUGUUUAAUGCUCCUCAAAGAGUAUCUACAAUCAAGGAACCUUAAUCAAGCGGUUUUUAAAUUUUGAAUUUACAAACGUAUUCUUCUCAAAUUGCUCAAUAUCAACUUUUUCAUAAAAAGAAAUCACAGCCGCCGCAUUCCACUCAUCUCCGAUCGGCACACCCCACCAACCCCGUCUCUUUGCCUUCGUCGCUGCUCCAGUGAGAAGCUCCAACUCUGAUGAAUCGAAGUUAACCUCAACAAAUCAACAACCUAUCUGACCGGUGAAAUCUAAUAAAAUUCUAAAAGUUUCUCUCAUCCGAUGAGCUUUGAAAAUACUUCGAAGCAUAGUCAUAAAUAAAAUUAUGGAAAUGACCAAUAAGAUAAGAGGUUCAAUAUGUGAAACAAAGUAAUAUCCAUGUUUUAAUAACAAAAUACAAAACAAAAAUUCAACACUGUCUAUGAAGCCUUUAACUUUAAGAAUAACUCCUAAGUAGGGACUGUGGACAAUGAAAUUUUAUGAAAUGCAAAUCCGUACAAAAUUCGGAUAAUAUUAAAUUUAAAAUAUAUUAAUCCUAAAUAAAUAGUGUGGAUUAAUAUAAUUGGAUUAAUUAGUUAAAGUCCAAACGCAUAUGGAUUUAAUUAAAGUCCAAACGCAUAUGGAUUUAAUUAAAGUCCAAACCUCAAUUGGGCUAACCUAUUAAUUUGGGCUACAAAUGACUAAGCCCACUUUAGCAAGCCCAAGAUGCCGUCAUGUUCUAAAGGCCCAAUUUGGUACCACAUGUCAAAUGAAGUGGUAUGCCAAGUCAAGUGAAGGAGUCAAUGGGACUAUGUCAUGUGUCAAAAUGAUGCAGUAAAUUAAAAGUCCAUAAGAAAUGCCAUGUCACUUAAAUAUGAUUGGUCAAAGAAAGUUUAUGUUUACAUGACUCUUUACUCCCUACAACUAUAAAUAGGGGCCUCAUAAUUCAGAAAAGGGACCAACAAGUUUAACAAGAAGCAAGAAAAAGCUCGUGGAUCAAAAAAGCAGAUUUCUCUACAAAUUCAAGAACAAGCUCAAGAUUUCAAGAUCAAGAGUUCAAGGUUCAAGAACAAGCUCAAGAUUUCAAGAUCAAGAGUUCAAGGUUCAAGAACAAGCUCAAGAUUUUAAGAUCAAGAGUUCAAGGUUCAAGAACAAGCUCAAGAUUGCAAGAUCAAGAGUUCAAGAUUCAAGAACAAGUUCAAUCUUCAAGAUCAAGACUACAAAAUUCAAGAACAAACUCAACGGCCCUUGAAUUCAAGUACAAGUCGAGAUCAAGUUCAUCAAGUCUUCAAAUCAAGUUCAAGUUCAAGAUCAAGACCACAAGAUUCAAGAACAAGCUACCAAGCCCUUGGAUUCAAGCACAAGUCAAGAUCACAUCCGUUAAGUUCAAGUUAAAGUUCAAGAUCAAGCUCGAAGCCCUUGAAUUUAUAGUUUAAAAAGGCAAAUCAGAGGAAUCAUAGAGAUUGUAACACUCACUUAUUGAAAUCAAUAAAUCGAUUGUUGCAGUAUUUUUUCUUGUCUCGAUUAUUAUUUUUUGUCUCGAGAAUUUUACUGUCCAACAAAUUCUGGCACGCCCAGUGGGACGAUUUUUACCUCUCAUCUCAACUUUUUAGACUUUGAAGAUUAAGAACGCUGAAAUGACUUCUAAGAAGAUCAACUCUCAAUCAACUGCUUCCAAGGCUGCUGAUUCAAGGUUCUCUUCUGAAGUGGAAAGCAUUCUUGGUGUUACUUUCGAAAGUUUAGGAGCUGUCACAAGGAGCAAGGUAGGCUUGCUAGGACAACAAACACAUCCAGUGUCGUUCGUGCCAAUUCCAGUUUUUGGAUCUUCAACCCCAAAAAGAGCGAAGUCCAAUACAAGUGCUUCGGAAGGAGGAAGCAGUGUCGCGGAAUCGCUUAAGAAGACUCUAGCUCUACUUGAGCAUUCUGGUUCCAAAUACUCUAGCACAAAGAGCGAUGGUCGUUCAACAAAUGCGUCAUCUCUAUUUAUACCGCAUAAGCUGAGCACAUCAAAGAUUAACUUAUGUGGCAAACCAUAUUACUCUCCAACGUCUCCAGUGAUCAUGUAAGCAAUGGUGACUGAUGCCUCGUCUAUGGAGGAGCAACUGGUGAAUCUGACAAAGGCAAUUGAGAGCCUGACCAAAUAUGUUCAGAAUCAAGAUGCUCGAAUUAAUAAGAUAGUGGAUAGGGUGGAAGGCCUGAUAGAUGGAGCAUCUAGAUAUACACUAAGAAAAGCUCUAGAGGAUCAAGAGAAAGAACAUCCUGGAAGCAAACAGCACCAACUAAAGAGGUACAAGUUUCUUCUGAGGGGAUGAUCUCGAUUGAGCAAUUGAAAAAAUUCAUUGAAGGGACCCUCAAAGACAAGUAUGAUGUUUUCACUAAGUUUUUUCUUGCGAAUGCCAAGCCCUACACUGUAAGGAUCGCUAGCCUCAAAAUUCCUGCAGGUUAUCAACCGCCCAAAUUUCAAUAAUUUGAGGGCAAAGGGAACCCGAAACAAUAUGUCGCACACUUUGUUGAGAUAUGUAAUAAUGCUGGAACUUAUGGAGACUAUCUUGUCAACCAGUUUGUUCGUUCCCUAAAGGGAAGCGCAUUUGAUUGGUAUACGAACCUUGAGCCUAACUCCAUCGAUAGUUGGGAGCAAUUGGAACAUGAGUUCGUGAAUCACUUUUAUAUCACGAGGCGUAUAGUGAUCAUGGUAGAGCUCAUAAAUACUUGACAAAAAAAGGAUGAGCCAAUCAUCGACUUCAUCAAUCGAUAGAGAAAUACGAGCCUAAAUUGCAAAGAUAGGCUCAGCAAAGCUUCUGCAAUAGAUAUGUGCAUCCAAGAAAUGCAUUGGUAGCUUCUCUAUAUCUUACAAGGCAUCAAACCAAAGUCCUUUAAAGAGUUAUCUACUCGUGAUCACGACAUGGAGUUGAGCAUGUCUUCUGCUGGAAAGAGAGGAACACCUAUCCCUGACCCUCAAAGGGGAAAGAAUAAGAAGAAACCCAAAAGAUGGGGCAAGUUUGUCCCCAAAAAUGACAAUAAGGAGUCCAUGAAUGUUGAUGUGUCUCCUGUGAAGGUCAUCACAAAGGUGAGCAAAAAGCAAAGUGUGAAGACGACCUCUGUAGCACGUCCAAAUCAGAAAACUUUAAAGGAGAUACAAGAAAAGAAAUAUCCCUUCCUUGAUUUUAAUGUUGACGAGAAUUUUAAUGAACUCCCUAAUGAAGAUGCAAUGGCUUUGGAAGUUAUAUCCCCAUGGAAGAUGUACUUUGAUGGUGCUAUACAUCGAGAUAGAACUGGUACUGGCGUAGUGUUUGUCACUCCACAAGAAGGGGUCAUCCCCUACUUUUUUACCUUGACGAAUCGUUGCUUCAAUAAUGUUGCUAAGUAUUAAGUGCUCAUACUCGGACUAGAUAUGGUUAUUGACAUGAAGCAACUAUAAUUACAAGUUUUUAGUGACUCUCAAUUGGUGAUAAAGCCGUUGUUGGGAAGCUAUGAAGUUUGAAAACCUGAGUUAAGACCAUAUCAUGAUCAUGCACAAAAGUUGAUGGGAUGGCUUAGAGAAGUAACCCUCUAACAUAUGCCAAGGAAAGAAAAUAAGCAAGCUGAUGCCCUAACUAUUUUGGCUUCAACUCUAACUUUUCCGAAUCAGACACGAGUUACUCUUUGCCAAGAAUGGGUAGUACCGCUAUCACAUGAAGAUGAAGACGUAAAAAGUAAGGUUGAAUACCUCGUCGCCAUGUUCGAAGCUAUAAAGGAGGAUUGGCGAAAACCUAUCAUUGACUACUUGUGUUAUGGGAUACUUCCAGAAGAUCCAAGGAGAAAGACUGACAUUCGUCGUCGUACACCUCACUUUCUUUAUUACAAAGACACACUGUAGCAAAGAUUAUUUGAAGGAGUACUCUUAAGGUGUUUGUGAUACGAGAAUAAUAACCACCUUAGCUUUUGACGACAUCAUUCAAAGUCACUAUGUGAAGAAUCAAGCUUUAGUCGCAUGGAGGGCACAGGAUCAUACUUGGAGGGGACAUUUUGAGCCUACCAUUAAUUAAACUCGAGUGUGAAAGAUUGCUUGGAGACUUGAAGACUUAAGUACUCUCAGGUUUGGACCACCUUAUUGGUUCACGAUUUUGGUUUCCUUGAUUGAAGGGCAUUUUGGUCUCUUAUCUUUGUCCAAGUGACACUCCAUGACCAUCCUUCCUCAUUAAGGGCAUUAGAGUCAUUUUGUAUUUAUUUUGUAAUAGAUUAUAAAUAGGCUCCUUUAGUCUUAUUUUUAUUAGUUUAUGAAAGAUGAAAUAUUGAAACAUCAAAAAUCCUCUCUCUUGAGAGUAGAACACUUAGUCUUAGUUAGGGCUUGAAAAAACUAGUAUUAAUCUUUGCUUGGAAACGGUAGAUCUUGAGGUGAGAUGAUUCCCUUGGCGAUCACCAUAAGAGUGUGAUUUUGAUUAUUACAUUCAUUAGGGGAUUUUGAGUUUAAUACACUUUUUAGUUCUUAAUCUUGUAAUAAUCUUGGUCUCACUAUCUAUCAUUUACUUUUAUUAUUGUCAUCUUGUGUAGUGGACUAUUUUGGGUCCUUUAUUGAAUUUGAAACUUGUGUUAUUGUUAUUCAUCUUGUUCCUCACGUUUUGUAGCUGUUUGUGGUGUUAUAUACACCAUUGUAUCUUGUAUUUUUCUUGUUGAUAGCGAAUCCGAGAGUGUUCUACAUCUUGGUCCUCGGAUCCUUAAGAUUGCGGACUGACUUGGAGUGUGUUUCGUGCUUCCAUUUUCUUUCUCGUAUCAUCGUGUUCCUACAAGAUCAAUCUUGGGGUUGCUUGUUAGAAAAUUCAAAAAAAGUGUUAAAAAUUGAAAAUUCUAGAAAAAUAGCAAUCUGUCUGUGUUUGUGUUCUUGGCCAAAAUUGUGUUCUUGUUGUGUCUUGGCCGAGAUUUGUUUGUUGUGUGACUAGAUCUAGUAGUGUUCUUAUUUUUUUUUUUGUUUCUAGUGUUAGUUUUCUUGUCCACUAACACUUUGAGUCUAGAUCUAAACUUGAGCUUGAACUUGUUGAAAGUUGUUGUUGUGAACAUAAACUUGGCCCAUUGUUGUUGUUCUUGUUGUUAUGGGUUUAAAGUUUGCAGUGUAGACGUUGUUGUAAUUCUUGGUGAAUGUUGUGUUGUUAUUGAAGUUCUUCACAACCUUCAUCUCUUGUUAAAAUCGAGGACACAACACUAAAGAGACUUGGUCGUUUGUUGUUGUGGAUUGGAGUUGGCCGUUGGUAUUGUUGUUGUUCUAGAAAAUUGUUGUUAUUGUUGUUGGUGUGGUUGUUGUUGUUAUUGAAGUUCUUCACCUUCCUUCAUAUAUUGUUAGAAUAUAAAGUGAAUGCUAGAUCCUAAAAGGUGAAGGAAAAAGGUGUACGUACUUGUUAGUCUUGAAAGACCCCCAACCACCAAAAGACAUAUCACUUCUCAACCAUUUUUCCAUGAUUUGACCCAUGUUUUAAGGAGAAGUACAAGAAAAAUUCAAGUGUUGAAAAUUGAAAAAGGCUCCAAGACUUAUUUUUCCUCCUAAACAAAUUCUACCAAUCCAAAUUAAUUUUUUACCAAGACUUGAACAUUUGAGAAUAACCACUUGAUAAAACCAAACCAAUACGUGGUUGCCACAUCAUCAUUGCUACUGUUCACGCAAUAUUAUUGAGCUCAAAAUUUUAUAUUCUUAGUUUUAUUUUAUUGUUUCAUUAGUUUCAUGUCUUGAUUCUAGAAUUAAUUAACAACUAGUAAUAACCUACUUAGUUGUAGAUUUAUUAUUGAAUCUGUUUCUUUCGUGUCUUCGUUAUUUGUGUGCUUUUCUCUUUUUUUAACAUGUAGUAACUUCUUUGUUUCAAGUUCAUAAGUAAAAUUUUUUUUUAGUCUUGAGUCGAUCAAACAAGAAGCUAUUCCGGCCGCCAAGUAGAAUUGACAUCUUAUUAACUACUGGAGUAUAAGCAACUUUCAAUAUUCGUCGCUCCAAUUGUGAGGAUCAUAAUUUGAGUGAAUAGGAGUGUUGGUGAGGAGCUUUUACUACUAAUUUUGUUUGUUCAUUGUGUAGGAACAAAGAUGAUAUAAGGGGAACAUGUCUUCGGUAGCGGGGAUUAUUGUGACUACAACAUGGGAGACUAUGGUUGUAGUGAAGGGUUUUAUGGCUACGAAGUUGAGGGAGAUUGUGGAGGCUAUGAAAAUAGCCAUGAUCAAAACUUGGGCAGAUUUGAAAGUUACUAUUUUGAGGGAGAAAAUAGGGUGAAUGAAGUGCCUAGUGCUUAUGGUGACUUUGGAGAUGAUGUAGGACCUCGUGAUGGAUCUUAUGAUAACGUUAGGGCAUGUGAGGAGUCUUACACUUCUUACUUCAAAUGUAGAUUUGGUGUUAGGUAUAACCCUUUCAUUCGCAAAGUUUAUAAGAGCUAUGAUGAGAGUACACGUGAGGAGUGUAAAGAUUCAUAUUCUCCACCUUGUAGUACUUCUUAUCAAGAUCGAUAUAGUGUGAAUGGUUAUACUAGCUCUAGUGGAGGUUGUUCAACGAGAAGAAGAGGGUAUGCAUCUCUAAAACCGAGGGGUGCUCGUAUCCUUUACAAUAUUGAUCCAAGAAGGAGUGUACACUUCGGAAAGGUGACCAUUUGUGGGAAACCGGGCUUCCUCAUUGUGUAAAUGAUAGGUACUAUAGAAAAUACAUCGUUCCAUCCAUGGUUGACUACUUGGGGUUAUUUUGCGAGCCUUUACUUGUUCUAUACUUCUUGGAUAGAUUUAAGGUUAUCGAGAGGGUCAAAGUUAUCUUCUCCCAAUUUGAGUACCAUAAGAAGGUGUGAUGUGAUAUUCUUCCAUUUACAUAUGGUCAUGUAUGCUUAGGUGCCGAUUGGUUUGCACAACAUAGAGUUCCAAAUGUGCAAAAUUAGCCUAAUGAUGUAAGAGAUCAAUGGGGAAAUCACCUCAUGACAUACAUGCUGUCUGAGCUGCAAAGAGAUGUGAAUACUUACUCGAAUCCGAAUACUUAUGAGGUACAAAAUAUUGAGAGGAUUAAGGCUGUUCAAGGUGGUAAUUCGAGAGUGGGAGCGAAGCGAGGGGAUUGGCACCAAACCAAGCUAACAUUGUUUGUUCUUCUAUUUCUAAGGACGUUUGUGUAGGUACCGACAUGAAAAGUGAUGGAGAGAAAUGUCAAAGUGAAGUUGCUGCCUAAGCUUAUGGAGGACCUUCAUAAUACGAAGAAGGAGAGUCGACUCAAGAACUUCAUGGUAAAAUAGCUAACUAUUACACUUUUAUGCAUGUGAAUGAAAAUUGUGUGGCUAGUAGCCCCUUGAGUGUGAGUAGUAGCUUACUUACUUGUGAGUUUAAUAAAUCUUUGCUUUUUGUUAAUGAUGUACAUGUUAUGAGUGUGGAUACACUAGUUGAUCCUAUUGAUGACCAAAUUGACUCUUCUUGUAAGAUCGAUUUAUGUCCACCUAGUGUUGAAGCCUAUAUAUUGAACGAAAGUACAUCGUCUUGUGUAAUUGGUGUUGAUCAACCUAGUUAUGAAAAUUGUCCACCACUUGAGUAUGCGUGUGAUGUGAUUAAUCAAAAUCAAGUGAGCGAAGUAUUUGAAAAAGUUGGUCAACAAAAGGGGAGUGAAACCGAGAGCUACUCUUGGGAUAAUCUUGUACUUGAAAUCUCUUUAAAAAGUAAUAUUGAGCUUUUAGAGAGUGCUGAAUGUGUUUGUUCCGAAUCUUCCCAUGAAAUAGAUUAUGCUCUCUUUAGGUAUAAUGUCUUAUUUGAAGAUGAUAUAAACACUCUUAAUGAGCCUAGUGGUGGAAAUGAAGGUAUAGCUUGCCUUGGAAGAUAUAGCCGAUAUGCUAACCCACUAUGGUGUGACAAUAUUUCUCCUAAAGAUGGAAAUCUUUUUUUUGAAAGAUGAGAGUACUCGUAUAGGUAAGAAAUGUGUAGUCCUUCUUGAAAACCUGAGGGCAAAGGUGUCAUUGACUCCUUGGAGUAAUGUUCCUUAAUGUGCUUCCUUGUUUGACAAACUUGUCCCUAAAUUGCAUGAAUUCCAACUUGUAGAUGCCAAGUUGUCUAGUUUUUUGAAGGAAAGAAUGUGUAUGUGUUUAAAUACUUAUUCUUCACCCGUGAAUUCCUUUGCAUGUGAUUCUUUCCUAUACUACCUCUUUGCCUAUGAUGAUGUCCAUGCUAGUUUUGGAUUUGUUUUAUGUCGAGGUAGGAAGUUUGUUGGUCUGUCCAUGUGUGUAUGAUAAUGCUAUAUAGAUUUUAUGGACUUUAGAACCAAUCGAAACACCCCCUUUGGUGUGGUUUUUUGAUGAGAUAAAGAAGCAAGGGUGUCUUAUGGCUCAUAAGAUGAAGUAAGUUCUACCUUGUGGAUUAUUUGAUGCCAAUAGGACCUAUGUAGUUUCUUUAUCUCUUGGUGAUUCCCAUAACCAAAUCCUUUGUGCACCUUUUAUUGAGCUUUUAAUAUUUAAUUCAAAGAAUCCUUGGAUAUAUUACAAAUAUGUUCAACCUUGGCAUGUUGAGAUGAUUUAUUGUGCUAACCCUAACCCUCAUGCCAUGAGGAGUUUGUAUUUAUUUGUCCUCUCUUUAUUUUUGCAAGGUUUGGAUUUGAGGUUGAAUUCUUUUCAAGAAGGGAAGGAUGAUACGAGAAUAAUAGCCACUUUAGCUUUCGAUGACAUCAUUCAAAGUCACUAUGUAAAGAAUCAAGCUUUGGUCGCAUGGAGGGCACAUGAUCAUACUUGGAGGGGGCGUUUUGAGCCUACCAUUAAUCAAAUCUGAGUGUGAAGAUUGCUUGGAGACUUGAAGACUUAAUUACUCUUGGGUUUGGACCACUUUGUUGGUUCACCGUUUUGAUUCCUUGAUUGAAGGGCAUUUUGGUCACUUAUCUUUGUCCAAGUGAUACUCCAUGACCAUCCCUCCUCAUUAAGGGCAUUGGAAUCAUUUUGUGUUCAUUUUGUAAUUGAUUAUAAAUAGGCUCUUUUAGUCUUAUUUUCAUUAGUUUAUGAAAGAUAAAAGAUUGAAAUAUUAAAAAUCCUCUCUCUUGAGAGUAGAACACUUAGUCUUAGUUAGGGCUUGGAAAAGCUAGUAUUGAUCUUUGCUUGGAAGCGAUGGAUCUUGAGGUGAGUUGAUUCCCUUGGCGAUCACCGUAAUAGUGUGGUUUUGAUUAUUACAUUCAUUAGGGGUUUUUGAGUUUAAUACACUCUUUAGUUCUUAAUCUUGUAAUAAUCUUGGUUUCACUAUCUAUCCUUUACUUUUAUUGUUGUCAUCUUGUGUAGUGGACUAUUUUGGGUCUUUUAUUGAAUCUGAAACUUGUGUUAUUGUUAUUCAUCUUGUUCCUCAUAUUUUGUUGCUGUUUUGGUGUUAUAUACACCAUUGUAUAUUGUAUUCUUCUUGUUGAUAGCGAAUCCGAGAGUUGUCUCCAUCUUGGUCCUUGGAUCCUUAAGAUUGCGGAUUGAUUUAGAGUGUGUUUCAUGCUUCCGCUGUCUUUCUCGUAUCAGUUUGGGAGAGAAAGAAGCAAUUCAAGCUUUGCAACAAGUGCACUCGGGAGUUUGUGGAUCACAUCAGUCUGGACCCAAGCUCAAUUUUCACAUUAAGAGGAUAGGAUAUGAUUGGCCAACGAUGGUGAAAGAUUGCUUGGACUAUGCUAGAAGAUGCAAAGCUUGCCGAUUCCAUGCAAAUUUCAUAUAUCAACCUCCAGAGGUACUACACCUAACUGUAGCAUCUUAGCUAUUCAAUGCAUGGGGAAUGGAUGUUGUUGGUCCAUUACCAAAAUCUUCUGGUGGACACUUAUACAUGUUGGCCGCGAUAGAUUACUUCUCAAAAUUUGUUGAAACUGUUUCUCUCAAGGAAGUAAAGAAACAAAAUGUCGCAAACUUUAUACGAGUGAAUAUCAUCUACCGCUUUGGAAUUCCUCAGUACAUAAUAACUGGCAAUGAAAAUCCAUUUGAUAACAAGUUAAUGAAUAAAAUCUGUAAUCUUUUUGGUUUCAAGCAGCGCAAGUCUUCUAUGUACUAUGAUGCCGCCAAUGGUCUAGUGGAAGCAUUCAAUAAGACUUUAUGCAACUUGCUGAAGAAAGUCAUCUCCAAAUCAAAUGAGACUGGCAUAAGCAAAUAGAAGAAGUUUUAUGGGCAUAUAGGACAACUUAUCGUACACCGACGUAAGCAACCCCAUACUCACUUGCUUUUGGAGUUGAAGCAGUCCUGCCACUUGAGCGUAAAAUACCUUCUUUGAGACUGGUUGUUCAAGAAGGGUUCACCGAUGAAGAAAAUGCUAAGUUGCGUCUUACAGAGUUAGAAGCUCUUGAUGAAAAGAUGCUGGAGGCUCAACAAAAUCUUGAAUGUUAUCAAUCCCGGCUUUCUCAUUCUUUCAACAAAAAGGUUCGCUUGAGGUGUUUCUAAGUUGGAGAUCAAGUCCUUACAGUAAGAAGACCCAUUAUCACUUCUAUAAGUCUGGGGGCAAAUUCACUCUGAAGUAGAAUGGACCAUACGUCGUACAAGAGACAUAUUCAAAUGGUGCUUACAAGCUUGUUGAUGCAGAUGGCGUGAGGAUUGGUCCCAUCAAUGCCAAGUCUUGAAGAAAUACUAUCCUUGAAGGAAGAUGACAAUCCUUAAGGCAUUAAACCACAUUGAGAUUUUUGUUUUGAGAAUUUAUGUGCUACAUGCACCCAUGUUUAGACUAUAAGGGUCAUUAACCCACAUUGAGAUUGUUGUUUUAAAAAUUUAUGUGCUACAUGCACCCAUGUUUAGACUAUUUUUGAUGCAGUAUAGAAAGAUUUGACCUUUUGGUCACAACAAAGUUAAAAUCCACUUUAUGAAAUGAGUUCCGAAUUUUAUCAUUUAUUUAACUUAAGAAAUAUGAGAUUACCCUUAAAGUGGAUUUUUCUUGAGAUUUUUUAGCAUAGUAUUGGGAGUAGUAUUUAGCACCGAGUUGGGUAUGUUACUGCGAUUUCAUACCCUAGAACUAUAUGCCACCGUAGGUUGAGACAUUGACUUCCACUAUAUGUGGAAAAUUGAGAUAGUGAUCACUGAGAUGAGAUUAUUCUACACCGAUUGCAAGAUUAGGACAGCCCUAACCUUAUGGGGGAAAGUCGUGGGACAUCAUGGGUGCUCACAUGGUGUACAUGUCGGUUAGAAGAACCUCCCAAAGAGUCGUCUCUCAUUCUUAGAUUGAUUUUACUGAUUUAAAAGAGAUAAGAAAUGGAGAUUUAUGAUGUAUUCAAUAUUCCAGAUUUUACUAAGAUUGCGUGAUGAGAAAAUAAGAAAAGAAUCUUGAUAUUUGGAUUAAGUGUAAUGGCUCAUGAUAUCCAGAUUGGCAUGUUUUACCAUUCAUUGUGUAUGAUAGAUUUUAGAAGAUUUCUUUCAANNNNNNNNNNNNNNNNNNNNNNNNNNNNNNNNNNNNNNNNNNNNNNNNNNNNNNNNNNNNNNNUAUAUAUAUAUAUAUAUAUGCAUAUAAAUAUGUUUAUUUCAUGCACCCCUAUGUACUCGGUACAUAUUCCAUGGUACUGACCCACAUGUUCGCAUGUGGGCUACAUUUUUCUUAUAAUGUAGGUUCAGGUGCUCAUUCUCAGGUUUGACCGUCAUUAUCCAAGAACGCUGAUCUACAUCCUCUGCAGUGGCAAGUCCUCAUGGUCCUAGGACUAGUUAUUCAAAUUUUCUCAUUUACUUUGAGUCGUUCAGUUUAUUUCCUGAGUUUGGGUCAGUUGGGGUUUGUCCCAAUGGCUCAUGGAUAUACAGUUUAGUAGAGGCUUAUCAAACUAGAUGAAUAGAUUUAUCAGAUUUAUCAGAGAUGUCGUAUUUUAUUACUUUCCAUAUUUCAUUCGUAUUGCAAUAUGAUAUUAUAGAGGAUGUUUAGAUGUUUUGAUUAUGAUGACUUUGAUUAUAAGUGUUGAAUGGUAGAAAAAUGAAUAAAAGGGUUAGCUUGGGGCUACUUGUAGCCUUAAGCACCGUGUGAUGCCUCGGGGCCCAUUUUUGGGGCGUUAUAAAGGGAUUUUAAGUUAUUGAUGAAAAAUAAAACUUUUAGUUGUAUUAUAUUCGAGAAUGGGUUUACAAUUUUGAGUUUUGAUGGUAAAAUCGUAGAAAGAACUUGAGAAAUUCCUAGUUUCCGUUGCAGUAUUCCGUUGACUAUCAUGUUGUGGUAUUAUUGGAUGGUGUUUGUGGUGGUGGUGGUGGUAUUUGUGGUCGUCGUGGUGGCACUGGUGGUGGCAUUGGUUGGUGGCGUUUGUGGUGGCUGUCGGUGGUGUCGUAUUCGUGGUGUUUGUUUGUUUGUUGGCAUUAGUUGGUGGUAUUUGUGGUGGUGGUUGUUGGUAUGUCGGUAUUCGUGGUAUUUGUAAUGUAUUUUUUAAAAUCUAUGCAUACAUCAAUAGUAAUGUAAUUUUUGUUUUUCUUUGUCUGUAGGUAAAACAUGUCUCUCAAAAGAAAAGAAAGUCAAAGUGGAUCAACGUCUGACCACUAAAUAAAAGGCUACAGUACAGAGGUAUUCAAAGGAGCUUCCUGAACAAUCUCAGUCAGGGAAAAGUGAAGCUGAGGAGAGAUGAAAACAACAUUGAAGGAGGUGGACAAGGGUCCGUAGAUGGUGAUAAAGAAAAUGAAAGUGAGAAAGAGAAGGAAUUGGAGAGUGAGAAAGAAAAAGAGGAUAAUUAUCAACAUGAUGAUAAUGGAUCACCGAGCAAAGAGCAACACCAAUAUUAAGGAAGCUGAUCUUUUUAACCCUCAAGAUGAUGCAAUACGUCUUCUUCAAGUAAAAUAAUUCUACUCAAAGAUAAGAAAGAUAUUGAACAAAUGUUAUAUCUGGUGCAACAGAUAUUAUAUCUGAUGCACCAGAUUGGACAUAUGUUGCAAUAGGGUAUAUCUUGCAUCAGAUUACCCAUCUGUUUCUUUAAUUCUCUGAAUCCGACUCUUAAAAGAUUUACCAUUUACUACAAAUUAUGCAACAGAUGUUUAAUCUGAUAACAUAUUGUUCAUCUAUUGCGACAUACAGAUCAUCUAUUGCAUAAUUGAUUACCCGUCCUGUACACCUGUUGCAACAUAUGAUUGAUAUUUUGCAUCAUAUUAUCCAUGUGUUGCUCUGUUUCUCUGAACCAGACUCAAAUGGAUUUUAACCAUAUACUGCAAACUAUGCAACAGAUGGGUGAUGACUUUUUAUAUUACUCUAGGUCAUGUUGAUACUAUUGCAGACCCAACGGUGGAGUUAAUAAAGAAGGAAUUGGCUGGAGCAACAACCCUAAGAAGAGCAGUUAGGCAAGGUCGGCCUAAUGUUGAGGCUCUUCAUGACCAACCUUUUACUAAGACAGAUUCGGGUGCUUCUUCUGGUGGAGUUGUUGGUGUUGGUGGCAGGCAUGCUGAUGCUACUACCACUCAUGAUGAUGAGCAUGUUGAUGCUCAAGAAAGAAUAAAUAUGUUUGAAAAUAUCCCUUUUUGCCCUUACACAGGUCCCUAUCACCCCUCUUCAGCCUCGUGUUCUCAUUAUAAAUGCGAUGAGUACAAGGACAGACAGGAUAAAAUCUUUGAAAAAAUAGAGACUAUCUCUAAAUCUAUCGAGAAAUUCAAAUCCAAGAGGUGUGUUAUACCAUCCAAGAAGGUGAGGGAGCCACACACUCAUACAACGUUGGUUAGGAGAAAAAAAAGAGCAAUUAGAGACGUACUCACCGCUCAAAAAUAAAAAAAUUGCAAUUUCUCCCUCUCCAAAAGCUGUUGAAGUUCAGGGUCCAGUCAAGAAGGUAGACAUAUACACUAAACUUGGUACCGAAGAGAAGAGGGAGCUGCGACAGGCCAAGCAUACCAAGCCAGGCGCGCCAGAUUACCCCAGACCUCCCUUUUCCCCCAAGACUUCCAGACUAUGACUGAUAUGCGUAUGCCGUAAGAGGAUAAGGCAAGUUUACUUUUCCUAACCUAGCCCUUCUAAUCUACCCCAUGAAUAAAAAGCUACGUAAUAGAUUUCACAUCUGUUGCAACAGUUGGGUAUACUGGUGCAACUGGUAGUGGUUCUGUUGCAACUUAUUAUCCAUCUAUUGUAUAAGUUUUGGAUUAUUGAUUCAGAGAACCCUAUGAAACAGAUGGACCAUCUGUUGUAUCUUUACAAUUACUAACCUAUUUAAAAAUUAACUUCUUAUCUCACAACAUGUUGACGUAAUUCUCUACCUCAUGAGGAAAAGGCAAUAAACUACAGGGAAGCUUAUAACGUUGCCGAUAGGAUAAUGGACCUCGACUUCUGCAAGAAGCUUAAGGAUAGGUACGAUCAAAUCAAUGAAGAGGCGUCAUCCCUUGGUGUGGGACUUGAUUUCCUAGUUCCUACGUUGGUCUUGGAUGAAGAAGAAACGUUAAGAUAUGUUAGAGGGGACAGGCUAAAUCCACACGGCAAGAGCUGGACCGAGGCAAAAAGGAUUCUUCCAGUCAUUAGCAUGAACGGCAUGCAUUAUAGGGCUAUUGAGAUACUACUCGAGGAGGAAAAGAUCAAUGUUUAUGACACCAACAUACCUCUCAUCGAUGAUUUCGAUCUUUUUCUCCUCGUGGAGCCACUGAUGGUGCUGUUGACCAUCUUGUUGAGAGAGAGUAAGCUGAUGAAUCGUUUUCCAAAGGAAGUGUUGAUGAAGAAAUCAUGGGAUUUUGAAGGUCAAAACAAGGGAAUGAUCCUUCCAAAAGAUGAUGCCGCUAAAGCAAACGGUUCACACGCUCUUGCACACAUCGAAUGUUUGCUGACCGACACAGAAAUGACCGAGCCAACAACUUUUCUGUGCGAUAAUAUUGUGGCAAACCUGCAAGAGGUCAGGUCUUAUGGGGUACUAACUGGACGCUUGAAGCCUGUGUAUAUAGAAGAGCCUGUGAAAUAGAAAUUUUUAAUUUCAAGUCACCCUUCACUUUAUUACAUGUACAUGUAGUGGCAACAAUUUUUUUGAUGAAAUUUGAGUUUUUUAUAUGCAAUGGAUUAGAUUGUCAAUCUGUUGUACAAUAUCUUUAAUCCGUUCUGGCAUAUAGUUUAUCUGUUGCAAUAGGUUGGUCAUCUGUUGCAUUACGGUGAUGUUAUUUCUAUGAAUAAUCUAAUAAUCUAAGUCUAAUCUGUUGCAACAGUGGAAAGACCUGUUUGAUAAUUUAUAACAGAUGAGCUAAAUUUUACAACAUAUGCCUAAAUCUUUUUGAUUUUUUCAGCAGUUACGCUUGAAUAUCCAUGUGCUCGACAACACCAAACCAGUAGCAAAUAUACACACCACCAUGAAAAUUUCAGCAAUUAGACUUAAAUAUCCAUGUGCCCAACAACACCAAACUAGUAGCAAUAAUGGCAAUAAUGUAGUAUCUUCUUGUUCAAUUUUGCUUCUCUUCAAAAGCCUUGAAUUUGUUCAACAAACCCCAGAUUAUACGAUUUGCUUGUGAAGGCUGUCAUUCUUCAUACCAAUCAAAUUAAUCACAUCCAUCCAAUUUCUAUAAAAAAGUGAACAUAAUUACAAAAUAAUUAAUCAAUUAAUUAAAUAAAAAAAUAUUACCUUUGAAAUCUUACAAGUAAAAAACCUAUGAUCCGAAUUUUGUUGAGUCCAAGAAGUCUUUAAUAGAGCUUCAUGUCCGCACUUACAAUAUCAAAAAUCUUUAUCACAAAAAACAGUGGAAGAUGCUCUCGACAUUGUCAAGCUCAGUUGAAAAAAAGGAAAGAAAUAAUUUGAAUAGAUAAACGAAGAUGAAGAUGAAGAAGAAGAUUUGAAAAUUUAGGGUUAAAUUUUUGGAGGAAGAUGAAUAUAUAAGACAAUGGGGGAAAAAAAUGACCAUUGGGGGCCAAGUGACGGAAAGUCAGCGAAAUGUACCAGACUGACACUAACACAUUUGAUGUCUAUUUUAUUUUACAUAUUUAAAAUGAACACUGUCUACUAGAUGCCUAUCUUAUUUUAGGUGUUUGAACUGAACAUCAUUGAUGGGUUGCGCCUUUUUUAUUUCAAUUCAAUUCACUUUAACCUUUUUACACGUAGUGAUAAUUUUUUAUGUCCAACGAAAGUUGAAUUUUUAUAAUGCAAUAGAUUCUCCAUCCGUUGUAACAGUUAUCCUACCUGUUCUGACAUAUAGUUUAUCUGUUGUAAUAGGUUGGCCAUCUGUUGCAUUAUCUCGAUUUUUAUCUAAAGUCCAUCUAUUGCAAUAGUGGGAAGACCUGUUUGAUAAAUUCCACCAGAUCAACUACCUGUUGCAAUAUAUGUCUAAAUCUGUUUGAUUUUUCCAAUAGAUGUGUCUUCUAUUGCAACAAAUACAUUAUCUGUUGCAAUAUUUGAAUCUAGUGCUCCUUUUCAAUUAAUAAGUUCAAAUCUAAGAAAUAAAUAAAAUUUGUAGACAAAAUAAAAUAAAUCAAAGCCUUCAUAAAUUAGCUGAAAUAAGUCGACGAAUAAAUGAAAUGUAAAAAAAUUAUUAUGGGUAUAGAUCUCAAUAAAUACAUCAACAACAAUUUAAGUAUAAUGUCAAGGAUUGCUUUGAAUUGACAAGCUCAAGCUAUAAGGAUCUACUCAGUAUGGACAAGUUGUUCUUCAUUCGGUGCUAUGGAAUUCGACUUUGCUCGUCGUGUAUUUUUAUUGUUGCUUAUGUACGGUUUCUGCACUUUCUGUUCUCCGCAUUUCCAUAAAAAGAGUAGCAUAUUAUCAAUGUUGUUCAGUAGUAGCUUCUUCUAUAUUCACCUGGAAAGCCAGAAUUGGUCAAUGCUAAUCACGGAGAUACAACAAAAUGAAAAAGGAUAACUCAUCUCUUCUAGUAAAUCAAACAGGUCUUUCUCCCAUUUUAAAUUAUCCCAAACAGAUUAUAUUUCUGUUGCAACAAUGAAUCAACUGUUGGGAUAAAUUUUUACAUGAGAAAGAUCCUGUGUGAUAAUUUCCAAUGGAUGAACCAUCCAUUACAACAUAUAAAUCAUCUAUAGUAGCAUAUAGGUCAUCUGUUGGUACAAAUAAAAGCGGUAUGAAGAACUGUUUGAUUUUCUAAACAGAAGAGACAUAUGUUACACCAGAUAAAGUAUCUUGUGUAACAGGUUAGUCAACUGUUGCAACAGAUGUAUAUAUCUGUUUGAUAAUUUUUAGCAGAUAUGUCAUCUAUUGAAACAGAUAUGUGUCUGUUUGUUUUGUCAGUUGGAAGACAUAUAACAUACUCACCUUCUUCAGCUCGUGCUGCUCUCCUUUGGAUAUUGUACGUUACUUAGUGCAACACACAGACAGAGUAGUUAUAAUUUUGCUUUUUUGGAUGCUUGAUAAUACCCUGGAAAUCACUCUCCUUCUCUCUUAGCCCUAAUCUCUAAUGGAGCGGAUGGAAAUAAAAUCCUCUUUGAUAGAAUGAGACCUCUCUUAGAUGUCAAUUCCUUUAUAGAAGUAGUUAAUGCAUUAAUAGCAUUAAUCACUACAUCAUGUUUCGCCCUCCAGUCUUGACAUUUGCAUGCAGAACAUUCGCUGGGAGAGGCAAAAUCUGUAUAACCAGUAUGAUCAUACUCAUAAUGAUUUGCUUUAAAUACUGUAAGAGGAGCAUCAUUAGCACCAACAGCAGCACCACUACCACCACCAACAACUCCAUCACCACUAAGACCAUCAACAACAACAACAAGCCCACCUUUUAAAAUUAUUUUUCUUAUAAUGGCUGUUGCUCCAAAUAAUUCUAUUUUUAUUCUGUCGAUGAUCUUAGGGUUCGAUAAGUUUGUACAGACCGUAAAGUAAGAAAAAAUAGCAUAUUCAACUCUCGAUUGGUUGGAACUAGCGACGGAUGCACAAUCUAACAUAAAUCAUGACAUAUAUUAGAAUGAUGAUUAGAUCAAUCAAAAUAAAUCAUUAAUUAAAAGAAAAAAUUAAUUAUAAUUAUAUUUACUGCAUUCUUCGAGGGGUUGAAGAGAUCAAGAAAUUUUGCACUUUUAUCAGUUUUGGCUGACAACCAUCUCAAGAUUCUUGGACAGGAAACUCCUUCCUGGUAGUUCACUUGUUGUCUUAAUAAGGAAUGGCUUCAAACGCCCAAGCAUAUAAAAUAAUGCCAAUAAAUCAAAACCAUUAUUGAGCCAAAAAAAUGAAUGAUAUCAUAAUAGAAGAAAGAAACAUUUACCAUGAAGUCCAUGGAAAAUCAUAUAAGUUGACUGUCUUUGGCGCUAACGAAGUCAACAAAUAUUUGACAGUCAUUUUGAAGCUUUCAUACCCCCAAGGAUAGCUGUUAAACGCCUUAAGAUCCUCGGAGAGCUUUAUUAAACCGAGGCUUAUGUUGUUGUUAACGUCUCUCGCCCAAAGAAUAUUAUGUACAAACCAAACCAAGCACAAUGAUUGCUUGUGCUUCUUUGAAAGUCCUUUACCUUUCAACGCUUCUAUCAAAUUUUUAUUUUUGAAGCUUGGACCAACAAUGGACACCAGGUUAUAACGAUCACACGACUUGCCUUUGCCUUUUUGGGGUGUGCGGGGUGCUUUUUUAGGUUAGAAUAGGUAUAACUUGAGAAGGAGGAUAAUAUUUUAGUCCAGUAACUAUGGCAAACUCUUUCCAACUAAAAUAAAUAGGCAUGCCACAGUAAUUUAUCCACACCUCAUCUAUCUUAUCUUUAUUUUCAUAGAUAAACCUAUGCUUGAGAAGUUCAUAUACCAUUUUCAUUUAGAAACAAGCAUUGUUGUCCUCUGGCAAAUCAAGAUAUUUCUCAAAGUAGCUGUGCCUGAAAUAAGCAUCUAAUUUUUAUUCUCAAAGUAUUUUUCUAAAGGCGUUGAAAGAUUUUCCCAUGAAUAACUUCCACGAAAUUACCCGUUAAAUCUGCGGCAUCAUCACACUGCAUUCUCACAGGAUAAUGAUCAAUGUUGAAGGCUUUGACCAGCUCUUCGAUGGAAGGGCUAUUAUCAUCUGCAUCAUCUCUUCUAAAAUAUUUCUCCUCCCCAUGUUCAUCAUAUUCUGCUCUCGAUUGAGAUAACGCUUGUAAAGCAAGCUCAUAGAGUGGUGGAUGUAGCCUAGCUGUUUCACUUGUUCCUUUACUUGGACUUGAUUCGAUUUCUGUUCUUUUGGGAAUCAUAUUAUCUAAAAUUAACAGGAACAUAAAAUAAUAUAUUAUUGUUGAUUAAUGCAUCAUUAAAAAAGGAUAACAGUAAAUCAAACAAGCAAAAUAGUAAAAUGACAGCUUUAACAGAUUAUCGAUCUAUUGCACUAGGUAGUAUAUCUGUUGCAGCAUAUAACCAAACUGUUGCAACGGAUGAGUAAUCUGUUACAACAAUAAAAACAUAUCACUCAUAUUUUAAGACAGAUGAAUGGUCUGUUCAACAGAUCACACAACUGUUGUGACAUCAUCUGUUGUAAUAAAUGAGUGAUCUGUUGGAAUAGUUAAAUAAUCCAUAGCAACGGCUGAGUAAUCUAUUGCGAUAAUACAAACAUAUCAUUCAUCUGUUCAGAAAGAUGAAUGGUUUAUGCAACAGAUCACACAUCUGUUGCAACAUAUGAAUGAUCUGUCAGAGCAGUUAACUAACCUGUAGCAAUGACUGAGUAAUCUGUUGCGACAAUACAAAACAUAUCACUCAUUUGUUGAGAAAGAUGAAUGGUCUGUGUAACAGGUCACACAUCUGUUGCAACACAUGAGUGAUCUGUUGGAACAGUUAUCAACAGUCAAUAUUGCUUAGUUUUCUUCCAACAUAGGGUCGUCUAUCAUGGCAGAUGAAUGAUCAGUUGAAAAAAUCAAGUCUUGGACAUUUCCUGUAGGAAGAGUUGAUAGGAUUUUAUCCAACAGAAGGUUCAUCUAUUGCAUCAGAUUAUUAAUCUGAUGGUUCUUCCAUUGCACCAGAUGAUUAAUUAGUUGCAUCAGAUUUUUUAUCCUAUGCUUAAUUUUUUGCAAUAUAUGGUAAAGCUCUUGCAUCAGAUAGUUAAUAUGUUGCAUCAGAUUAUUAAUCUGUUGCAUCAGAAUUAUAAUUUGAUUAUUCCUCGGUGCAUCAAAUGGUUGAUCUGUUGCAUCAUAUGAUAAAUCUGUUGCACCAGAUGUUUAAUAUGUUGCACCAAAUGAGUAAUCUGUCGGAGGAAAUAAAAAACAGUAGCACGAUUUUGUUCAACAAAAAAUAUCAAUUUCACCAUUUUUACUAAGAACAAGAACAGAACAAAUCAAACCAAAUUGUCGUUUUAUCUUAAUAAACACAAACAAUAAAAAUCAAACUUCAAAAAAAUGCAACAAACAACAAAAUAUCAUAAUUCUCUUCGAAAAGAAAAGAGAAGAAAUACUAGAAAUUAGAGUUUUAUUCAGACCGCAUUUCAAAUUAGUGCAACAAAUAUUAAAAUUGUUAACCAAUACUAUAAGAGAAGUUGGCUCAAGUUCCUUGUUUUCUUCAAAACUAAAAAGGCCAUAAAUUUUUACCUGUGAAAGAAGAAAAGGAACGAUGAAGAAUUCGAAGCUGUUGUGGCCGGAGAGCAAGUCUGUCACGUCGAUUGAAGGUUGAAGUCGAAAAGGAACUCGAAGCCCAACUAUUUGUAGUCGGAUGUUAAAGUCGCCGAGGAUUGAAAUGAGAAAUUUGCAGAACAGUUGGUUGGGAAAGAAUUGAGAGAAGCUGCCAAGAGAGGAAUGAAAGACAGGUUGAUUGAAUAGAAGAGAGGAACUCGAAGCCCAACUAUUUAUUGUCGGAGGUAGAAGUCGUCGGGGGUUGAAGGGAGAAAUUUUGCAAAACUGUUGGUUGGGAGAGAGUUGAGAGAAGCUGUCGAGAGAGAGGGGAGAGUGGUUGAUUUGGAUUGAAGAGGGGAGUUGGGUUGAUUUGUAUUUUUGAAAAGAUUAGAAAUUUUUAAAAAUAUUAAUCAAGUCCACAAUUAACUUAAUUAAGUUUCCUAAUGAUGUUUGACCCUAUCUGUUGGUCAAUGUCACCAAUCCUUCAUUCAAGACUUAAAAGACACUUUUCCUUCAAUUUUCUCCACUUACUCUAUCUCAAAUGUCCAUUUUCUUUCUAAUUUUAAAAAGUGUUUUUUCUUUUUUGCUUUGCUAUUUAAAAAAGAAAAAAAAACUUUUUAGUUGUUUUUUAUUUAAAUUUUUUUUAUUUUCUAAUAGUUUCACUUCUUUAGUGAAAGAAAAAUAUUUAUGUUGUUUUAUUUUUUUAAUUUAUAUUUUUAUUUAUUAAGGUGGGAACGUAUUAUAAUCAAAUAAGUAUCAAUAUCGAUACAUUACAUAAUUAUUUAUAUAACAUCGAUACACAAUUAUACACCAUUUGUAUAAUGUACCUAUUUAUGCAACAUCGAUAUAAGUUUAUACAUGCAUGUUUAUACAUACAUGUUUAUAUAGUAAUUAUACAAUAUUUAUACAGGUUUAUACAUCAUUUAAACAGAGUAGAUAUUACAUAACUAUUUGUACAUCGUCGACACUUGUUUACACACAUUUAUAUAAUAUUGAUAUAUUAAAUAUAUGCUACAUAACUAUUUGUACAUCAUAUAUACAUGUUUAUACAUCAUGUAUACAAUAUUGUUACACGUUUAUACUAUUAUACAAUAUCGAUACACUACAUAUAAACUAUGUUAACUAUUUAUAUAAUAUUGAUAUAUUAUAUAUUAACUACAUUAACAAUUUAUACAAUAUCAAUACACUACAUAUAUAGUACAUAACGAUUAGUACAUUAUAUAUACAUAUUUAUACACCAUUUAUAUAAUAUUAAUACAUGAAAAAAUUGCAUGAAAAGCCCUUUUAAAAGAAAAGUGAAAAAGUUUUCCUUUCAAUGAAAAAAAUGAAGCAAAAAAAGUAACAAAAAAAUUAUUUUUUUCUUUUUUUAAUUUACUGCUGAAAAUAAUAGAAAAAGGAUGAAAAUGGUCUAAUGGCCAUUUUAAGUAAUAUACAAAACUUGGUUAUAUUUAUUGUAAAUUUUUUAUUUUUUAAAUAUAAAUGAAAUUUUUUCUUUAAAUAUGUACGCAGAUAUAUAACUUAUUAAAUUUAAUGAAAUAAACUUAAUCAAAUAUUUUUAAAUUUUACAAAGCUAAUAUUAUGUUCAUACGUUUUUAAAAGAUUUUUAAAAAUUCGCCAGCUUCAUCAAGUUCUCGUGCAAAUUCAAUAUUUUCCAUGAAAGGUUUGAUAUACUAUUGCACAAGAGUUGUUACAUAUACUUUUAUAAACAAGAACUAGUAGAACUAUCCGUUCUUUGCGCGGUUAAAAAUAUCUUAUUCAAUUCAUGAAAUGAUCCUCUUUAAAAUAUUUGAGCACUUGUAAUAUAACUAGAGGAACAUGGCCCGUGUAGUACAGGCCUAACAUUAAGAUAUUUAUUUCUCUUUUCAAUCUUGAUAUAUUUAAAUAAAAUUUUUUAAUAACAGGAUUGCAUAUGUUUUCUAGGAUUCAUCCGGAAUCUAGCAUUAAUUCAACAUAUCUUAUUUUAAUAUUAUUUAGAUAAUUUAAGUUGUUAAAUAUUGUAAUUUAUAAUAUUUUUUAUGUAAUUUUCAAAUUAAUAUACGUUACUUUUCUUGUCCAAAUUUUGCAGCAUUGAUAGACAAUUAUAUUUUAAAAAUAAUUUAAGUUUUUAAUUAUUUUGAUUUAUGAUACUUUCUUCUAUUUCAAUUUUAGUGACACUAAUAUAAUUUCAAGAGUCGACCAAAUAUUUUAUAUCUUUCAAAAAUUUUAAAUUGUUAAUUAUUGUGAUUUCUAGUAUUUUUCAUGUGAAACAUAUAACAUAUUAAAUUAUUUUUAGAUAUUUUAAGUUGUAAACUAUUAUAAUUUAUAAUACUUUUUAUGUAAUUUUUGAAUAAUAUAUUUUACUCUCCUUGUCCAGAGUUUUGUGUCAAUGAUAGCCAAUUAUAUUUUUUAAAUAAUUUAAAUUUUUUAUCAUUGUGAUUUGUAAUAUUUUUUCUAUUUCAACUUAUGUGGCACAAUGCUUAAAUGACCAUAAUAAUUAAUUAGGAGUGAUAUAAUAAAAUAUAAUUAUUAUUAUUUAUUAUUUAUUACUUUUAUUAUGUGUAUGUGUUGAUUCAAGUAGAAUUUGGAAACAUUUAGAAAUAUGUUGAAUGUUACAAAUGUUAAUAAUCCAUUUGGUGCUUCUUGAUUUCUCUACAUUUAUUUCUUGUGUGUUUUUACUCUUUUGUUCUUUGAGUAAAUGUAGUAAUUUUUUUAAAAAUAUCAUGAAAUUUUUUAUUAUUAGUUUUUCAAUACAAAAGUGACUUAUAAUAAUUAAUUGCGGGUGAUACAUUAAAAUCACGAUUGAAGCAGCAAAAAUCAGUCAAUUUUUUAAAAUUAUUUUGUUAAUUAUUGUUAUUUACAGUACUUUUUAUUUUAUUUUCAAAUAAUAUAUGUUGCUCUAUAUCUUCUUCUAUCUAGUCCCAAUUUAUGUGGCACUAGUAUAAUUUUGAUAGUCAAUCAAAUAUUUUAUGUUGACAUAUAAUUUUGUUAUUUUAUUUUUUAAUAUAUAAAUGACUUAUAAUAAGGAGUGAUAUAAUAAAAUCAUCGUUCGAAAGACAAAAUUUUAAUUUAAAACAUUAAGAGUUAAUUUCGCAUUUUAUGUCUAUUUUAUUUUUCAUUAAAUAUUAUUUAUUUUUUUAAUACCUAAUUGACUCAUAAUAAUUAAUUAAGAGCGAUUAAUUAUGUUAUUACUAUAAAAAUUAAUAUAAUUUUAUUAUAUCCAAUAGUAAUCUUCGAUAAUUCACUAAAAUAAUAUAUUAAUUAAAUACGAGAUGCUAUAUUUGCAUAUGCAAACUUUAAAAAUUUAAAGUUAAGUUUAAAUAUUAGUAUUUCUAUAUAAGAAAAAAAUUAAUUAAAAUAAAUAAAUAAAUAAAUAAAAAGAUUACUUUUCUAUAUAAAAGUCAAUUAAAAUAAUAAAAUUGAUUUACUUUCAAUAUUUAGUUGCAAUUAAUUAAGAUAAUUUUUUAUUUUGUCAUAAUUUAUGUUGAACCGAUAAAAUUUUGAGAGUUGAAUAGAACUUUUAUCUAUUUUUAAAAAAAGUAUUUUUACUUGUUAAUUAUUAUAAUUUAUAAUAAUUUGUACGUAUUUUAAAAUAAUAUAUUUACUCCUUGUGUCUCCAUUUAUAUGGUUUCAAUACAAUUUUGAGAAUCAACUAAAAUUUUUAUAUAUUUUUUAAAUAUUUUAAAUUGUUAAUUAUUAUAAUUUGCAGUAUUUUUUCUUUUAUCUCAAUUUAUGUGGCAUUGCUAAAAUAAUAAGAGUCAAUAAAUUUCUGUGUCUUUCAAAUAUUUUAAGUUAUUAAUUAUUGUGAUUCGUGAUGACAAAUUAGUUUUGAAUAUGAUAGCAAUUAAAUAAAUAAAAAAAAUUUACUUCUAAUAUGUAGUUAUAGUUAAUUAAUUUAAAUUUAAUAGAAUAUAUUAAAUACUUGAAUCAUUACGACGAAACAAUAAAAUUAUUAUAUAUUUAAGCAUGAUAUGUAAUUAAAUGAAAAUAAUUUUUUUUUGAUAAUUGCAUGAGAGGUGGUUGAAACCACCUCUUCUGCUGUAUAAUUGAAAUAUAAUGAUAAAAAUAGGUUGUGCGCACCUAAAAAAUGACCCUCACUUUCCACAAUUAUAUAUUCCGAGAAAAUUACAUAUAUAUCGUCUUUUGAUUUUAAUUUGUACAUAAUGCUCUGAUGUUUUUGCUUGUAUACCUUGCAAUCCAUUCUAUUUUACCAGUUCCAAAUUAAAAUUACACAAUUAUUAAGAAAAUCAUGAUCGAUAAAGUAGCUUUAUCAUUUAACCUCUCUUAAUUGUGUAUUGUUGUCAAUUUCAAUAUUAAUGGAUGACUAAUAUCAAAGCACUAUUUAUAUUCUUAAUAGUAUACUCUUUAUAACAUUUUUCAAGAAUAUUAAUAAUAAAAAGUAAUCAAUUAUACAAGGGAAUAAUGGUAAUCGACAUGCAAGCAAACUCUAAAAGAGGAGCCUGCAAUCCGGUCUGUUGAGCUUGAAUAUUAUGAAGUCAUCAUCGUGACACUUCUUCCACAAAUAAAUUAGAGUAAAAAGAAAAUUAGAAAACGUGUAAAAUUAAAAGAAAAAAAAAAGAAAUAAAAGAAAUUGCUUAAUCAAGUAAGAGCAGAUCAAGCUAUCAAACAUUAACUUAUACGUAAAUACCAUUGAUCACAUUUUGUAUUCCAUGCGAAAUUGGUUUUUAUGAAAAUGUUUCAUGUAAAACUGAACAAUGAAACUACAAAUCCUUGAUUUAUAUUAUAACUACAUAGUAAAAACUCAUAUCAAAACAUUAAAACUACAACUUGACAAAAGAUAAUUAACUAUUAGCGAUUAUUAAGGAAAAGCAAUUAAAAUUCAAUUAGUGGUAACUCACAACAAAUCUAUAGAAGGAUUUCCAGAUCACAAAUCCAUACCACAGAAAAUGCAAUCAUGAACCAGGAAUUUCAGAGAAGGUACAUGUUAAAGCUAAGCAAAAGCACUCAAAGAAAACAUUUUCAUAGGAAGCGAUUGAACUUCGAAAGGUAUGACACAAGCCACCAUAUCAUCAUCAGAACGAUAAUCAAUUUCAUUCACAACCAUAACUAGUUGUGUCCAAAGGUGUCCUAAGAUUGAUCUGUGUCAUCAUUUGACUUAUGGCAACCAAUAAACUAAGAAAAAUGUUGCAAAAAAAAAAAAAAAAAAAAUAUGUGCCACAAAUUAAAAACCAAAAGUAAAACUUGAAUUAAUAAACAGUAUGUGAUUCAGUUGCAACAUAAACAUAAUCACUAUUAUAAAAUCAGUCCAAGUGUUGGAAUUAAAAUAAUUGCUUCAUCAUCAUCACCAUUAGAACAAAAUAUAAAACGGCAGUUUCAUAAAUAGAAAAACAAGAAUAAAAGGUCAUUCAUCACCGAAAUCAGAAGAGGGAGCUUAGAUAUCCUCAUUAUGAUUUCAAUUUAAAAAACCACUAAAUAAGUUAGAAAAAUAAAUCAAAAGAAAAAAGAGUCACUCAGUUCAGCGGGGUAAUCGACACGCAAGCAAACUCUAAAAAUAGAGAAGCCUGCAAUCCGGUCUGUUGAGCUUGAAUAUUAUGGAGUCGUCACCGUGACCUUUUUUCCAUCAAAAAUCAAUUAGGGCAAGAAAAUGAAGAAAAAUUAAAAAGUAGAUCUGGGGGAGGAAUGAAAAUGCUCAGUGGUGGCUAGUUGUUAUUGGUUCGAUUCUGCCAGCAAGUUUCCUCAAUGUUACUCAGAAGAGGGAGCUUGGAAUCCUCAUUGCAAAAUCCACCUCCCCAAAAAUUGUUUACAAAAUCUAACAAAGAGAUUUAAAAAGCAUAUAUUAAAGAUGUAAAGAAGAGAUGGCUCAGGGAAGAAGGAGAUCGACAUGCAAAGACAGAAGCCCCUGACAAUCCGGUCUGUUUAGCUUGAUCUUUCAGAGUCCGCAUAGCCACUCUUCCUUCUACAUCAACUAAAAGUAUAAAUCAGAAAAUGCAAUAAAGAAAGGAAAAGGAAGAGGAGUUUGUUGCUGCUUUACUGUGUGAAUGGUGUGGGGGCGGUGACUAUUAAUUUAUAGAGGUACAACUAGGGUUUGUAGAUUUUUUUAAGAUGGAGAAGCUGGAACUUUUGUAGAUUUUUUUAAGAUGGAGAAGCUGGAACUCCUGGGCUGAAAAUUUGAGUCCAAUAACUAUUAAUGGAUCGAAUCUCCUUCAGAGGUUAGGUUUGCACGAGAUUUACUUUUGGAAAAUUAUUUAAAACUACAAUAUAAGUUUAUAUUAUUACAUACAAUUUUAAUUAUUAAAAAUAAUUAUAAAAAUCUCUUUUUAUUACUUUUUCUCUCCAAGUGUCAUAUACAUAUCUCAUCUAUCUUUUUCUUAUAUUUAAUGCUCCUCAAAGAGUGUCUACAAUCAAGGAACCUUAAUCAAGCGGUUUUUAAAUAUUGAAUUUACAAACGUGUUCUUCUCAAAUUACUCAAUAUCAACUUUUCAUAAAAAGAAAUCACAACCGCCGCAUCCCACUCAUCUCCGAUCGGCACACCCCACCAACCCCGUCUCUUUGCCUUCGUUGCAGCUCCAGUGAGGAGCUCCAACUCUGAAGAAUCGAAGUUAACCUCAACAGAUCAACAACCUAUCCGACCGGUGAAAUCUAAUAAAAUUCUAAAAGUUUCUCUCAUUCGAUGAGCUUUGAAAAUACUUCGAAGCAUAGUCAUAAAUAAAAUUAUGGAAAUGACCCAUAAGAUAAGAGGUUCAAUAUGUGAAACAAAGUAAUAUCCAUGUUUUAAUAACAAAAUACAAAAUAAAAAUUCAACACUGUCUAUGAAGCCUUUAACUUUAAGAAUAACUCCUAAGUAGGGACUGUGGACAAUGAAAUUUUAUGAAAUGCAAAUCCGUACAAAAUUCGGAUAAUAUUACAUUUAAAAUAUAUUAAUCCCAAAUAAAUAUUGUGGAUUAAUAUAAUUGGAUUAAUUAGUUAAAGUCCAAACGCAUAUGGAUGCAAACACCACCAACUAAAGAGGUACGAGUUUCUUCUGAGGGAAUGAUCCCAAUUGAGUAAUUGAAAGAAUUCAUCGAAGGGACCCUUAAAGACAAGUAUGCUGUUGUCACUAAGUCUUUCCUUGCGUAUGCCAAGACCUACACUGCAAGGAUAGCUAGCCUCAAAAUUCCUACAGGUUAUCAACCGCCCAAAUUUUAACAAUUUGAGGGCAAAGGGAACCCCGAACAACAUGUCGCACACUUUGUUGAGACAUGUAAUAAUGCUGGAACUUAUGGUGACUAUCUUGUCAUGUAGUUUGUUCGGUACUAAAGGGAAACACCUUUGAUUGGUAUACAGACCUUGAGCCUAACUCCAUCGAUAGUUGGGAGCAAUUGGAACAUGAGUUCCUGAAUCGCUUUUAUAGCAUGAGGCGUACAGUGAGCAUGGUAGAGCUCACAAAUACUUGACAAAAAAAGGAUGAGCCAAUCAUCGAAUUUAUCAAUCGAUGGAGAAAUAUGAGCCUAAAUUGCAGAGAUAGGCUCAGCGAAGCUUCUGCAAUAGAUAUGUGCGUCCAAGGAGUGCAUUGGGAGUUUCUCUAUAUCUUGCAAGGCAUCAAACCAAAGUCCUAUGAUGAGUUAUCUACUCGUGCUCACGACAUGGAGUUGAGCAUGUCUUCUGCUGGAAAGGGAGAAACACCUAUCCCUGACCCUCGAAGGGGAAAGAAUAAGAAGGAACCCAAAAGAUGGGGCAAGUUUGUCCCCAAAAAUGACAAUAAGGAGUCUAUGAAUAUUGAUGUGUCUCUUGUGAAGGUCAUCACAAAGGUGAGCAAGAAGCAAAGUGUGAAGACGACUUCUGGAGCACGUCCAAAUUAAAAAACUUUAAAGGAGAUGCAAGAAAAGAAAUAUCCCUUCUUUGAUUUUAAUGUUGACGAGAAUUUUUAUGAACUCCCUGAUGAAGAUGCAAUGGUUGUGGAAGUUAGAUCCCCAUGGAAGAUGUACUUUGAUGGUGCUGCAUAUCGAGAUGGAGCUGGUGCUGGCGUAGUAUUUGUCACCCACAAGAAGGGGGCAUCCCUUACUUUUUUACCUUAACGAAUUGUUGCUUCAAUAAUGUUGCUGAGUAUUAAGUGCUCAUACUCAGACUAGAGAUGGUUGUUGACAUGAAACAACUAUAAUUAUAAGUUUUUGGUGACUCCCAAUUGGUAUAAAGCCGCUGUUGGGAAGAUAUGAAGUUCGAAAGCCUGAGUUAAGACCAUAUCAUGAUCAUACACAGAAGUUGAUGGGAUGGCUUAGAGAAGUAACCCUCUAACAUAUGCCAAGGAAAGAAAAGAAGAAAGUUGAUGACCUAGCUACUUUGGCUUCAACUCUAACUCUUCUGAAUUAGACACGAGUUACUCUUUGCCAAGAAUGGGUACUACUGCCAUCAAAUGAAGAUGAAGACGUAAAAGGUAAGGUUGAAUACCUCGUCGCCAUGUCUGAAGCUGUAAAGGAGGAUUGACGACAACCUAUCAUUGACUACUUGUGUUAUGGGAUACUUCCAGAAGAUCCAAGGAGAAAGACUGACAUUCGUCGUCGUGCACCUCGCUUUCUUUAUUACAAAGACACACUUUAGAUAAGAUCAUUUGAAAAAGUACUCUUACGGUGUUUGUGAUACGAGAAUAAUAGCCACCUUAGCUUUUGACGACAUCAUUCAAAGUCACUAUGUGAAGAAUCAAGCUUUAGUUGCAUGGAGGGCACGGGAUCAUACUUGGAGGGGAUGUUUUGAGCUUACCAUUAAUCAAACUCGAGUGUCGAAGAUUGCUUAGAGACUUGAAGACUUAAGUACUCUCAGGUUUGGACAACCUUGUUGGUUCAUGAUUUUGGUUCCCUUGAUUGAAGGAUAUUUUGGUCACUUAUCUUUGUCUAAGUGACACUCGAUGACCAUCCUUCCUCAUUAAGGGCAUUAGAGUCAUUUUGUGUUUAUUUUGUAAUAGAUUAUAAAUAGGCUCCUUUAGUCUUAUUUUCAUUAGUUUAUGAAAGAUGAAAGAUUGAAACAUUAAAAAUCAUCUCUCUUGAGAGUAGAACACUUAGUCUUAGUUAGGCUUGGAAAAACUAGUAUUAAUCUUUGCUUGGAAAUGGUGGAUCUUGAGGUGAGUUGAUUCCCUUGGAGAUCACCGUAAUAGUGUGGUUUUGAUUAUUACAUUCAUUAGGGGUUUUGAGUUUAAUACACUCUUUAGUUCUUAAUCUUGCAAUAAUCUUGGUCUCGCUAUCUAUCAUUUACUUUUGUUGUUGUCAUCUUGUGUAGUGGACUAUUUUGGGUCCUUUAUUGAAUCUAAAACUUGUGUUAUUGUUAUUCAUCUUGUUCCUCAUGUUUUGUAGCUAUUUUUGGUGUUAUAUACACCAUUGUAUCUUGUAUUCUUCUUGUUGAUAGCGAAUCCGAGAGUGGUCUACAUCUUGGUCCUCGGAUCCUUAAGAUUGCGGGCUGAUUUGGAGUGUGUUUCAUGCUUCCAUUGUCUUUAUCGUAUCAUUUGGUAUCAAAGCAUGGCCUGAUCUUGUUCCUACAAGAUCAAUCUUGGGCUUGCUUGUUAGAAAAUUCCAAAAAAAAGUGUUAAAAACUGAAAAUUCUAGAAAAAUAGCAAUCUGUCCGUGUUUGUGUUCUUGGCCAAAAUUGUGUUCUUAUUGUGUCUUGGUCGAGAUUUGUUUAUUGUGUGACUAGAUCUAGCAGUGUUCUUAUUUUUUUUUUUUGUUAUUUCUAGUGUUAGUUUUCUUGUUCAAUAACACUUUUAGUCUAGAUCUAAACUUGAGCUUGAACUUGUUGAAAGUUAUUGUUGUGAAAAUAAACUUGGCCCAUGGUUGUUGUUCUUGUUGUUAUGGAUUUGAAGUUUGCAGUGUAGACGUUGUUGUAAUUCUUGGUGAAUGCUGUUGUUGUUAUUGAAUUUCUUCACAACCUUCUUCUCUUGUUAAAACCGAAGACACAACACUAAAGAGACUUGGUCGUUUGUUGUUGUGGAUUGGAGUUGGCUGUUUGAAUUGUUGUUGUUCUUGAAAAUUGUUGUUAUUGUUUUUGGUGUGGUUGAUGUUAUUCUUGAAGUUCUUCACCUUCCUUCAUAUAUUGUUAGAACAUAAAGUGAAUGCUAGAUCCUAAAAGGUGAAGGAAAAAGGUGUAUGUACUUGUUAGUCUUGAAAGAUCCCCAACCACCAAAAGACUUAUAUCACUUCUCAACCACUUUUCCAUGAUUUGACCUAUGUUUUAAGGAGAAGUACAAGAAAAAUUCAAGUGUUGAAAAUUGAAAAAGGCUCCAAGACUUAUUUUGCCUCCUAAAUAAAUUCCACCAAUCCAAAUUAAUUUUUUACCAAGACUUGAACAUUUGAGAAUAAACACUUGAUAAAACCGAACCAAUACGUGGCUGCCACAUCAUCACUGCUACUGUUCAAGCAAUAUUAUUGAGCUUAAAAUUUUAUAUUCUUAGUUUUAUUUUAUUGUUUCAUUAGUUUCAUGUCUUGAUUAUAGAAUUAAUUAACAACUAGUAAUCACCUACGUAGUUGUAGAUUAAUUAUUGAAUCUGUUCUUUCGUGUCUUCGUUAUUUGUGUGCUUUUCUCAUUUUUUAACUCUUAGUAACUUCUUUGUUUCAAGUUCGUAAGUAAAAAUUUUUUUUUAGUCUUGAUUCGAUCAAACGAGAAUCUAUUCAGGACGCCUUGUAGAAUUGACAUCUUAUUGACUACCGGAGUAUAAGCAACUUUCAAUAUUUGCUGCUCCAAUUGUGAGGAUCAUAAAAGUGAGUGAAUACGAGUUAUAGUGAGAAAGUUUUACUACUAAUUUUGUUUGUUCAUUGUGUAGGUACAAAGAUGAUAUAAGGGAAACAUGUCUUCGAUAGCGGGGAUUAUUAUGACUACAACAUGGGAAACUAUGGUUGUAGUGAGGAUUUUUAUAGCUAUAAAGUUGAGGGAAAUUGUGGAGGAAACUUGGGCAAAUUUGAAAGUUACUGUUUUGAGGGAGAAAAUAAGGUGAAUGAAGUGCUUAGUGCUUAUGGUGACUUUGGAGAUGAUGUAGGACCUCGUGAUGGAUCUUAUGAUGACGUUAGGAAAUGUGAGGAGUCUUACACUUCUCACUCCAAACUUAGGUUUGGUGUUAGGUGUAACCCUUUUAUUUGCAAAGCUUAUAAGAGUUAUGAUGAGAGUACACAUGAGGAGUGUGAAGAUUCAUAUUCUCCAUCUUGUAGUACUUUUUAUCAAGAUCGAUAUAGUGUGAAUGGUUAUACUAGCUCUAGUGGAGGUUUGUUCAAUGAGAAGAAGAGGGUAUGCAUCUCCAAAAUCGAGGGGUGCUCGUGUCCUUUACAAUAUUGAUCCAAGAAGGAGUGUACACUCCGGACCAUUUGUGGGAAACCGGGCUGCCUCAUUGUGUUAAAUGAUAGGUACUAUAGAAACUACAUCGUUCCAUCCACGGUUGACUACUUGGGGUUGUUUUGCGAGCCUUUACUUGUUCCAUACUUCUUGGAUGGGUUUAAGGUUACCGAGAGGGUCAAAGUUGUCUUCUCCCAAUUUGAGUAUCAUGAGAAGGUGUGGUAUGAUGUUCUUCCAUUUACAUAUGGUCAUGUAUACUUAGGUGCCGAUUGGUUUGCACAACAUAGAGUUCCAAAUGUGCAAAAUUGGCCUAAUGAUGUAAGAGAUCGGUGGGGAAAUCACCUCAUGACAUAUAUGUUAUCCGAGCUGCAAAGAGAAGUGAAUACUUACUCCAAUCCGAAUGCUUAUGAGGGACAAAAUAUUGAGAGGAAUAAGGGUGUUCAAGGUGGUAAUUCAAGAGUGGGAGCGAAGCGAGGGGAUUGGCACCAAACCGAGCUAACAUUGUUUAUCCUUCUAUUUCUAAGGACGUUUGUGUAGGUACCGACAUGGAAAGUGAUGGAGAGAAAUGCCAAAGUGAAGUCGCUGCCCAAGCUUAUGGAGGACCUUUACAACACGGCAAAGGAGAGUCGACUCAAGAACUUCAUGGUAAAAUAGCUAACUAUUACAGUUUUGUGCAUGUGAAUGAUAAUUGUGUGGCUAGUAGCCCCUUGAGUGUGAGUAGUAGCUUACUUACUUGUGAGUCUAAUAAUUCUUUGGUUUUUGUUAAUGAUGUACAUGUUAUGAGUAUAAAUACACUAGUUGAUCCUAUUGAUGACCAAAUUGACUCUUCUUGUAAGAUCAAUUUAUGUCCACCUAGUGUUGAAGCCUAUAUAUUGAACGGAAGUACAUCGUCUUGUAUAAUUGGUAUUGAUCAACCUAGUUAUGAAAAUUGUCCACCACUUGAGUAUCUGUGUGAUGUGAUUAAUCAAAAUCAAGUGAGUGAAGUAUUUGAAAAAGUUGGUCAACAAAAGGGGAGUGAACCCGAGAGCUACUCCUGGGAUAAUCUUGUACUUGAAAUCUCUUUAAAAAGUAAUAUUAAGCUUUUAGAGAAUGCUGAAUGUGUUUGUUCUGAAUCUUCCCGUGAAAUAGAUCAUGCUCUCUUUAGGUAUAAUGUCUUAUUUGAAGAUGAUAUAAACACUCCUAAUGAGCCUAGUGGUGAAAAUGAAGGUAUAGCUUGCCUUGGAAGCUAUAGUCGAUAUGCUAACCCACUAUGGUGUGACAACAUUCCUCCUAAAGAUGGAAAUCUCUUUUUGAAAGACAAGAGUACUCUUAUAGGCAAGGAAUGUGUAGUCCUUCUUGAAAACCCGAGGGCAAAGGUGUCAUUGACUCCUUGGAGUAAUGUUCCUAAAUGUGCAUCCUUGUUUGACAAACCUGUUCCUAAAUUGCAUGAAUUCCAACUUAUAGAUGCCAAGUUGUCUAGUUGUUUGAAGGAAAGAAUGUUUAUAUGUUUAAAUACUUAUUCUUCACCCGUGAAUUCCUUUGCAUGUGAUUCUUUCCUGUACUACCUCUUUGCCUAUGAUACGCGAAGGAUGAUACGUGAAUAAUAGCCACCUUAGCUUUCGACGACAUCAUUCAAAGUCACUAUGUAAAGAAUCAAGCUUUGGUCACUUGGAGGGCACAUGAUCAUACUUGGAGGGGACGUUUUGAGCUUACCAUUAAUCAAACCCGAGUGUGGAAGAUUUCUUGGAGACUUGAAGACUUAAUUACUCUCGGGUUUGGACCACUUUGUUGGUUCACCGUUUUGAUUCCCUUGAUUGAAGGGCAUUUUGGUCACUUAUCUUUGUCCAAGUGACACUCCAUGACCAUCCUUCCUCAUUAAGGGCAUUAGAGACAUUUUGUGUUCAUUUUGUAAUAGAUUAUAAAUAGGCUCUUUUAGUCUUAUUUUUAUUAGUUUAUGAAAGAUGAAAGAUUAAAACAUUAAAAAUCUUCUCUCUUGAGAGUAGAACACUUAGUCUUAGUUAGGGCUUGGAAAAGCUAGUAUUGAUCUUUGCUUGGAAGCAAUGGAUCUUGAGGUGAGUUGAUUCCCUUGGCGAUCACCGUAAUAGUGUGGUUUUGAUUAUUACAUUCAUUAGGGGUUUUUGAGUUUAAUACACUCUUUAGUUCUUAAUCUUGUAAUAAUCUUGGUCUCACUAUCUAUCCUUUACUUUUGUUGCUGUCAUCUGUUGCAGUGGACUAUUUUGGGUCUGUUAUUGAAUCCGAAACUUAUGUUAUUGUUAUUCAUCUUGUUCCUCAUGUUUUGUAGCUGUUUUGGUGUUAUAUACACCAUUGUAUCUUGUAUUCUUCUUGUUGAUAGCGAAUCUGAGAGUCGUCUCCAUCUUGGUCCUUGGAUCCUUAAGAUUGCAGACUAAUUUAGAGUGUGUUUCGUGCUUCCACUGUCUUUUUCGUAUCAUUUUGGGAGAGGAAGAAACAAUUCAAGCUUUGCAAGAAGCGCAAUCGGGAGUUUAUGGAUCACAUCAGUCUGGACCUAAGCUCAAUUUUCACAUUAAAAGGAUGAGAUAUUAUUGGCCAACAAUGGUGAAAAAUUUCUUGGACUAUGCUAGAAGAUGCAAAGCUUGCCAAUUCCAUGCAAAUUUCAUACAUCAACCUCUAGAGGUGCUACACCCAACUAUAGCAUCUUGGCCAUUCAAUGCAUGGGUAAUUGAUGUUAUUGGUCCACUACCAAAAUCUUCUGGUGGACACUUAUACAUAUUGGUCGCGACAGAUUACUUCUCAAAAUGGGCUGAAGCUGUUGCUCUCAAGGAAGUAAAGAAACAAAAUGUCGUAAACUUUAUCCGAGUGAAUAUCAUCUACCGCUUUGGAAUUUCUCAGUACAUAAUAACUGGCAAUGGAAAUACAUUUGAUAACAAGUUAAUGAACAAAAUCUAUAAUCUUUUUGGUUUCAAGUUGCUCAAGUCUUCUAUGUACCAUGCUGCCGCCAAUGGUUUAGCCGAAGCAAUCAAUAAGACUUUAUGCAACUUGUUGAAGAAAGUCGUCUCCAAAUCCAAAAGAGGUUGGCAUAAGCAAAUAGAAGAAGCUUGCUUUUGGAGUUGAAUCAGUCCUGCCACUUGAGCGUCAAAUACCUUCUUUGAGACUGGCUGUUCAAGAAGGGCUCACCGAUGAAGAAAAUGCUAAGUUGCAUCUUGCAGAGUUAGAAGCUCUUGAUGAAAAGAGGCUGGAGGCUCAACAAAAUCUUGAAUGUUAUCAAGCCCGGCUAUCUCGUUCUUUUAACAAAAAGGAUCGCUUGAGGUGCUUCCAAGUUGGAGAUCAAGUCCUUGCAGUAAGAAGACCCAUUAUCACUUCUCGUAAGUCUGGGGGCAAAUUCACUCCAAAGUGGAAUGGACCAUACGUCGUACAAGAGACAUAUUCAAAUGGUGCUUACAAGCUUGUUGAUGCAGAUGGCGUGAGGAUUGGUCCCAUCAAUGCCAAGUUCUUGAAGAAAUACUAUCCUUGAAGGAAGAUGACACUCCUUAAGGUACGAGUAUAAACUGCAUGUCUACUCCUGGCCCGCAAGAGUAUAAACUGUGAGCGACUCAAAAAAAUGUCCGCUAGGUUGAAAAUCUCGAAAGAGGUGGCCUAGGUAAAAGUUAGGUCACAAAAAUAAAAUAAAAAAAAACACUCACCCCAGAACUACGUUGUGACUUGAUCCUCUUUAUUGAGGUACGUAGGGGCUUGGAAUUUUAUUCUGAGUUCAGUUGCAUGGGUGUAAAAAAAAUACAUGUUCCCCCUCAUAUAAAAAAUUCAAUCUUCAAAAGACUUUUAACAUCAUCAAUCUUCAGACUUGCACCAAGUGUUGGUGACUCAAUGGGGGCAGAUCCCUAUGAAGUAUAAGAUCUUUGGACAUAAGUUGAAGUCUUUAAAUUCUCUAAGCCUUCAUGUUAGAGCUUCCAAGUUAACAUAGUGGAGCCUGCAAGUUCACAAAGUCUGAUAGUUGAAGUCUUCAAAUGACCUAUGCAUAUAAGUUGAAGUCGUCAAAUUCAUUAAGUCUUCAUGUUGGAUCUUUCAAGUUACCAUAUUGGAGCCUGCAAGUUCACGAAGUCUGAUAGUUGAAGUCUUUGAAUGACCUAUGCAUAUAAGUUAAAGUCUUCAAAUUCACUAAGUCUUCAUGUUGGAGCUUUCAAGUUACCAUAUUGGAUCCUGCAAGUUCACAAAGUCUGAUAGUUGAAGUCUUUAAAUGACCUAUGCAUAUAAGUUGAAGUUUUCACAUUGGAGAUUUCAAGUUACCGUAUUGGAGCCUGCAAGCUCACGAAGUCUGAUAGUUGAAGUCUUUAAAUGACCUAUGCAUAUAAGUUGAAGUCUUCAAAUUCACUAAGUCUUUAUGUUGGAGAUUUCAACUUCACCAUAUUAAAACCUACAAGUUCACAAAGUCUAUAAGUUGAAGUCUUCAAGUCUGCUAUAUUGAAGCUUUCAGAGUUUGAAAGUUGGAGUCAUCAGGUGCUUUGAUCUAUAAGUUGAAGUCUUUAAAUCCUUCUAACCUUCUUGAGUUUACCUUUCAAUCUUCAUGAAAUUACCUUUUUUUCUUAUGGCGGGAACGAGUAGUCAUCCCGAUGCGCCAUAAGAUUAUCUUGAAAUUACUUUUUUCUUAUGGCGGGGACGAGUGGUCAUACCGUUGUGUCGUGAGAUUACCAUAAAGUUACCUAUUACCUUUUCUUAUGGCAGGGACGAGUGGUCAUCCCGUUGCACCAUAAGAUUACCAUAAAGUUACCUUUUACCUUUUCUUAUGGCGGGGAUGAGUUUUCAUCCCGAUGCGCCAUAAGAUUACCCUGAAAUUACCCUUUUCUUAUGGCGGGGAUGAAUGACCAUCUCUUCAUGCCAUAAGACUACCAUGAAGUUACCUUUUACCUUUGCCAUAAGACUACCAUGAAACUACCUUUUACCUUUACCAUAAGACUACCAUGAAGUUACCCUUUACCUUUGCCAUAAGAUUACCAUGAAGUUACCUUUCUUAUUGCGGGGACGAGUAGCCAUCCCUAUGUGGCGUAAGAUUACCAUAAAGUUACCUUUUCUUAUGGCGGAGAUGAAUAGCCGUCCCUAUGCGCCGUAAGAUUACCUUCUAGGAUUACCUUACUUAUGGUAGGAAAGGAUAUCUAUCCCUUUACAUCAUUAGACUAUAUCCUUUACAUAAAAGGAGUUAUCUUGAGCAAAAUCUUGUAGUUUACCUAAAAAAAAGAAGCAGAAAGAAAAAGGGGAACGAAAAAAAGAAGAAGGAAUGCUUACCUAAAUAUGGCAAGUAUCUCGAUCGGCAAAGAUGGAUCAAAUUACACCCUUAAGUUUGCUCUCCUACCAAAAGUGUUGUAAAUAUUAGAGUUCUCUUUCCAACGAAAAAAGGACACUCACAAUUUCAACACUCCCACGCCUAGAUAUGAUUUGUCUUGUGAAGCCACGCAAAUCUGAAAUUGAAAAUGUAUCAGCAGGCAGAGGCAACUUCAAAAUAUUAUCUAGGAUAAUUCUGAAGGUUUUAAAUCAUUGGUUUUUGAUAUGUUAUAUAUUUUCGAGUCUAGUUUUGAAAAAAUCAAGCGGUUCAUAAUUUCAUCGCUCCUACUUUGAGAUAUGAAAGUUUUAGUGAAGACGCACAGAUCAGAAAUUUUCAGCAUGGCAAAAUUUAAAGUCAACUUCAAAAUUUUGUCUAAAAUAAUUCUGAAGGUAUUAAAUCAUGAAUUUAGGAUAUGUUAUAUAUAUUUGAGUCUAGAUUCAUAAAAAAUCAAGCACCUUAUGAUUUCAUCAUUCCUACAUUGAGAUAUGAAGAUUUUAACAGACGUGCGCAGAUCUGAAAUUUUCAGCAUGAUAAAAUUCAGGGCUAACUUCAAAAAAUUAUCAAAAAUAAUAUUGAAGGAUUUUAAAUCUUAAUUUUGGAUAUGUUUUAGAUCUUGAAGUCUAGUUUUUGUAACAUCAAAUGGAUUAUGAUUUUAAUAUUUCUACAAUGAGAUAUGAAUUUUCUACCACUAACAUGUUGUGCUGGAAAAAAGUGACGAAAAUAAGAGAAAUGUGGGAGCAAAAGAAAUUACCUCAAUAUUAUUGAUGACUUGGAAAUCCCAAAAUUGAUAUUGAAAAAGUGGGGAGACUACCUCCUUUUAUAGAGUUGUAGGAUGAUGUUUCCUUCUCCAAUAUAAAUUCAGAUUGGAAUAAUUUUCAUCUCCAAAUUCAAAUUGGAGAUUGUUUCCUUCUCCACUAUAAAUUUAGAUUGAAAUAAUUUCCAUCUUCAAAUUCUAAUUGGAGAUUGUUUCCUUCUCCAAUAUAAAUCCGGAUUGGAAUAACUUCCAUCUCCAAAUUCAAAUUGGAGAUUGUUUCCUUCUCCAAUGUAAAUUCAGAUUGGAAUAGCUUCCAUCUCCAAAUUCAAAUUGGAAAUUAUUUCCUUCUCCCAUACAAAUUCAAAUUGGAGGUUCUUUGUUUCUCCAAUCUAAGUUCAAAUCGGAAGGUUUUAUUACUGAUUAAGUAAGGUGAUGAAAAAGUUUUCCAAAAUUUAUUUGAAAUUGGAUAUCAUGCCUCACCAAUGGGUCUUAAGUGCAGAGAUUCAUGAAACAAAAAUGAGAAAGUUUUGAGAGGCAAUAUCAAUAUGGUUCGACUUUAAAUUUUUGAAUGAGGUAUUCAUAUGUAUGAGGAUUGUUGAAACACGAAGAAAAUAUUCUUAAAUAAUCAUACUUUAAGGCUAGUCUCCAAAAUAUUAAAUGUCUCGACAAGUCUUGAAGUAGGGGGGCAUUCUGUGGACAAUGAAAUUUUAUGAAAUGCAAAUCCGUACAAAAUUUGGAUAAUAUUACAUUUAAAAUAUAUUAAUCCCAAAUAAAUAUUGUGGAUUAAUUAGUUAAAGUCCAAACACAUAUGGAUUUAAUUAAAGUCCAAACCUUAAUCGGGCUAACACAUAAAUUUCGGCUACAAAUGACUAAGCCUACUUUAGCAAGCCUAAGCUGUCAUCAUGUUCUAGAGGCCCAAUUUGGUGCCACAUGUCAAAUGAUGUGGCAUGUCAAGUCAAGUGAAGGAGUCAAUAGGACCAUGCCAUGUGUCAAAAUAAUGCAAUAAAUUAAAAGCCCAUAAGAAAUGCCAUGUCACUUAAAUCUGAUUGGUCAAAAAAAGUUCAUGUUUAUCAUGACUCUUUACUCCCUACAACUAUAAAUAUGGGCCUCAUAAUUUAGAAAAGGGACUAACAUGUUUAACAAGAAGCAAGAAAGAGCUCGUGGAUCAAAGCAAGAAUUUCUCUACAAAUUCAAGAACAAGCUCAAGAUUUCAAGAUCAAGAGUUCAAGGUUCAAGAACAAGCUCAAGAUUUCAAUAUCAAGAGUUCAAGGUUCAAGAACAAGCUCAAGAUUGCAAGAUCAAGAGUUCAAGAUUCAAGAACAAACUCAAUGGCCCUUGAAUUCAUGUACAAGUCGAGAUCAAGUUCAUCAAGUCUUCAAAUCAAGUUCAAGUUCAAGAUCAAGACCAUAAGAUUCAAGAACAAGCUACCAAGUCCUUGAAUUCAAGCACAAGUCAAUAUAAAAUCCGUCAAGUUCAAGUUAAAGUUCAAGAUCAAGUUCCAAGUCCUUGAAUUUAUAGUUUGAAAAGGCAAAUCAGAGGAAUCAUAGAGAUUGUAACACUCACUUAUUGAAAUUAAUAAAUCGAUUGUUGCAGUAUCUUUUCUUAUCUCGAUUAUUAUUUUGGUCUCGAGAAUUUUACUGUCCAACAAGGACAUAGCUUCGACAAUACCAUAAAACUAAAAAAUAUGAGUGUAGAUACUUAUAAGAAAGGUACAAAUGUCUUUUGAAGGAUGGAGGGCUCACUAUUCCUCACCAGCAGUCUAAUAAUAUAACAAACCAUCUAAUGCUACACAGGGCUACAAGAAAAGGCCUCCGAUCCAACAUCAUGAAAUGAUGCUGCAUCCAACGACAGUCAGUACGACGAGUACUAGCAUGCAACCCAAGGAAAGAGACAAAAUAUACAUAUGCCAAAAACAGUUGUAAAACACAUGAUCAUACCCUAUAAUAGUAAUAAUAAUAUAAGGGGCAAGGGAUAGGGAACUAACAGAUAUGACAAUUUAAAAUUUAAUACUGAACUAUGUAGCUUUCGCCGACAUCUAGUAAUCACGAGCUCUAUUGAUCCGGUACUCCUCAACUGAUGAGGCCUUAGUCCACAUUGACCGCAUGUACUGAGGUUAGGCAAAGUCAUCAAUAGAUUAGAGCCACCAUACAUAUUAUCUUUAUGUUAUGGACUAUCAUCAUGUUAAGGACACCAUUUCUUUGCCCAAUUAAGGUAUGACAUCCCUAUGCUGACAAACAUAGGUUUCAAGCGUUGGUCAUUAGAACAUACACCUUUACGGUAAAGCGAUAUAAUUCCCUUUAGAGCCUAAUUAAAAAUAUUUUUCACACCAUUAACUAUUGAAUCUUUCAGUAAGGCAUUCUCAUAUUGGUAUCAUAAUAUCAAGACUUUAAAGCUAUUCAUAUUAUGCCAUAUCAUUUUCAUAAAAUAUUUUGACUCUAAUUUCCAUCUUAAAAAUUCAUAAACAUAACCUCCAAGGGCUUUCAAAAGCAUCAUUUAAACCUUUUUACCAUGUAUUAUUCAUAAAAAGAAGUAAAAAUUAUAAUUUUCAUAAAACAUCAAGUUUUGAAAGGGGUUGAUGGCCAUACUUUUAUCACGCAAAAUUUGUGAAAAAUUGUGAAUCCAUAUUAACAAUUUCAUCAUUUUCAUGUAACACAUUUAAAUUUCAAGACCUGUUAUUUAUGCAUAGAAAAACAUAAAUAAAGAGAAAACUCAAUAUAAUGCUUUCACAGCAAAACCCCUCAACCCUAGUCACUACUAAAAAAUGACAAAAAGAGACGGCCAAUGUCUCUUUUUUGGACAAAAGCGAUGGAAAUUCGUCAGUUUUUUUUUUGCAUCUUAAAAAGGAGCGUUGUUUUUUGAAAACGACAGCCUACAUUGCUUUUUUUACAAUGAACAACGCCGCUUUAGGAAUUUUUUUUUAGUUAUUCUUACAAAAAGCGACGUUGUGCGUCGUUUUAUGUUCUUCAAAUGAAGAACACUUGAUUAACAAAAAACGACGGACAUCAUCACUUUAUUGAAAAAAUAUUUUUUUUUCAAGAAAAUUGACACCGUCCGUCGUAAUUUGAGAAAAAUAAAAUAUAUUUUUUUAGAAAAAGCGACGUUGGUCGUCGCUUUCUGUUCUUUAUAAGGGUUAAAAAAAUGAUGUUAAUCGUCACUUUUUGUUCUUCAUAAUGAAUAAAAAGCGACGUUGGUCAUCAUUUUUUGUUCUUCAUAAUGAAUAAAUAGCGACGUUGGUCGUCACUUUUUGUUCUUCGCAAUGAAUAAAAAUGCGAUGUUGGUCGUCGCUUUUUAGUUUUCAUAAUGAAUAAAAAAGCAACGGCCAUCGUCGCUUUUCUGCAUUUUUUUUGGAUGCAGAUAUCUGCAUUUUCUACAUCCCACCUGCCAAAUAAAAAUGCAAUUCAAUAUAUACAUCCUCAUACAACACAGAUUAUUACAAUAAUAAUAUAACACACUACAUCAACAAAUUAUUUAAGAAAUUCAAAUCAAUAACACUUAAACAAUGAAUCCAACAUCAUUCAAAAUAAUUAAACACUCCUAAAGAUUUUUCACUAAUUAAAAGCUAAGAUAAAAAAUAUCUAAAAAUUAUCUAAAAGUCAAGUCCAAAAAUACUAAGGAGUAGCCCCAACAAACUCCUCAUCACUCUCUAUUUCCUCUUCGCUACUUGAAUCAAGAGCAACGGCCUGUGUCAAGGCACGUCUAAGAUGUGCAAUCUGAUGUGACAUAGCAACAUGUCUCUAAAAAAAUGUAAAAAUGACCUGAUUGUGCGUUGGCAACCAACAACACAUUGUUUGAAAAUCAGUUAACUAGUGUCACACCCCUUUUUAACUCCAAAAGAUUGAUUUUAAGUUUGAAAGGGUUUUUAUUAUCAAAGUGACAAAUGGUUUAAAAUUUAUUUCGAAAAGGAAUUAUUUACAUUUUUUAUUUAGAGUCGACACUUGACAUGAACUCGGUGUACCAAGUCACCUUUGAAAAUCCUUUUUAAAACUGUUUGACUCUUUAAACUGAUUUACAAACAGAGAUUUCGGUUAAGGAAUUCUGUUGACCGAGGAAAAGGUGUUAGGCACCCCUCGAUCCCGUGGUUCGACCACGGUCGCUUGAUGGAAUGUAUCGGCUAAUUUGACACUAUGAAUGUAUAAACCACACCAAACACACACAAACAACCGAAAAAACAACAAACAAAGUGAAUCCCAAAAAUAUUAUUUCCCGUCCAAUUAUACAGUCCCAGAAUAAAAAAUAUGAAAAUGUAAACCUACUCUAACCUACACUAAUCCUAAACUACGCUCCAAUGCUUUACCUGAUGCCUCGGGCCUUCGUCACGGACGCCUCCGAGUAGAAAAUACUUUGGGACAUUCCCCAAUGAAUAUAUACAUAUGACUUUGGGGCAUUCUCUGACAAAUAAAUACAUUGAUAGAAAUGCGGUAAACAAAACCAUCCAAUAAAUAUUUCAAACAUUCCACAAUCCACAAGUCCUAAAUAUUCCUACCUAACCUAGUAUUUGCCUAUCCAUCCGAUGGCCUAAUCAUGAUACUACAACGUUUAACAUCCGUGUUUGUUCCAAAAUAACCAACCCCAAUAAAUCAAGAUUCAUCAAUAUUCAUUUUUAUCAACUCCUAACAUCCGAACCCAAAUUACAUUUUUUAUCCAGAACUACCACAUAAGACAAUUAUCAACACGUUAACACCAAACUUGUAUCAUAAUCAAUGGUUCGACAUCAAACAUUCACCAAAACACACAAUCACAUCAACAAACACAUAAUCAUAAUAUCAAUCCAAUAAAUCAAGAUAAAAUGGAGAGAUAGAGUUAAAUAAAUGGACCUUUCGAUAAUUAAUUUUAGUUGAUAAUAAUGAGAAAGAAAAUCCGAACUCAAAAUCCUCGAACGGAGAGCCUCAACAACAAACAAAUCUAAUCGGUGUCAAGAAUCCACACCCAAAUUUUGUUUCAAACAUAACUAAGUGUAGAAUAUGAGCAAACCAAAAUAAAGACACCCAAAUCCAUACAAAAUAUUUACAUCAACCUAAAUUCGGACGAAUUUUGGGGUGAAAACGGGAUUGGUGAGCCGUCUAAUCUUGUCAGAACAUCAAUGGCCUGUGCGGGUGGUGUUUAUCAGUGGAGAAUACAGUGAAUUUAUGGUGAGAAACUCACUGGUAACCGUCAAACCCAUCCACUUUUCUCCCUCCCUCCAUUCACUCUCUCUCUAUUUAUGCUCUAUUUCUCUCUCAAUUCACACUAUAUCUCUCUCAAUUUCUAUCUUUCUUAUGUAUGUUCCUUCCGUGUGUGUGAGUUUUUAUGUGUGAGAGUCUCUUGAUGGGGAGCUGUGUGUGCUGAUGAAAAAAAAUUAAAAAAUAGAGGAGCUCUCCUUUUUCCAUGAGUUGUGUCCCCUAUGUUUUUCCCCUUCUUCCUUUUUAAUUCUCUAUGUGUGCAUUGUUAUUAUCUAUUUGUCAAAGAAGAAAGAAAGAAAUUUAAUAUAGUUAUUGUUGUUGGAAGUGGGUUUGUCAGGUAGUGAGUGGGAUAAUGUAGGGGUAGAGGAUAGGUAGGGGGUAGGGUAUGUAAAUGAGUAAAAAUAUUUUUGGGAGAGACAAUAUUAUGUGUCUACAUCAUGUUUCCUUUGAAUAUAAAUACAAAGUGUUUUCAGACAAAGAAGUAGAUAAUGAGAUAGAAUUUUAUCCCGAGCACUAUUUAAAUGAAAGAAACAAAAGGGGAGAGGAAAUCGAGUCUUGAUUUUGGGCAUUCUACCUGUCUCAAGUUAUGUGAGAGUCAGGUCACAAGUAUCUCAAAGGAUUAGAAAGAGGAGGACUAUACCGAAUUGGAGAGUUGAGCGAGGUCCUAUCAAGUUUUAGCUCCACAACUCUGCUAUUACAUCAAAAUAAACAUUACAAGUUAAAAAGUUAAUUGAAAUUACAAAAGUCCUAUUUAUGCAACUUUUUUUGGACUCUUGACUUAAGUUUCUGAUUCUUUUAAAAUGUACAAAAGAUCUGAUCAUUCUUUGGGUUGAACUUGAGAAUAGAUACUUUCUCUAUAAGAACUUUGAUGUUUGGAUAUGAACUCACAAAUUGACCAUGUUCUGUCGGUGGUACUUCUGAACCUUGAUCCUGAAUUUGAAAAUCACCACCCUAUUCUUAAGGCGGGCUCUUGACUUACAAUUUCUUUACCUUGUUUCUUGACUUUCAAUCUCUUAACCUUAUUGCUUAACUUUCGAUUUCUUCACCUUGUUCUUUAGGCGGGCUCCUGACUUUCAAUUUCAUCACCCUAUUCUUCAGGCGGGCUCCUGACUUUCAAUUUUAUCACCCUAUUCUCCAGGCGGGCUCUUGAAAUCAAUGUCGAAACUAAAACAAAAAUUAUCCCAAACAAAGAUUAUGAUUAACAAAGAUUCCAUUUUUUUUUUCAAAAUAAAGUCCCAUUUUUCAGGAGGGUCUUGAACAUAGAGUAAAUUUUCAUCUUUCAAGAGGGUCCUAAACAAAAAAGUUAAUUCUCAUUUUCCAGGAGGGUCCUGAACAUAAAGUAAAUUUCCCAUUUUCUAGGAGGGUCCUGAACAUAAAGUAAAUUUCUCAUUUUCCAAGAGGGUCCUGAACAUAAAGUAAAUUCUCAUUUUCCAGGAGGGUCCUAAACAUAAAGUAAAUUUCCCAUUUUAUAGGAGGGUCCUGAACAUAAAGUAAAUUUCUCAUUUUCCAAGAGGGUCCUGAACAUAAAGUAAAUUUCUCAUUUUCCAGGAGGGACCUGAACAUAAAGUGAAUUUUCAUUUUUUCGGAGGGUCCUGAACAUAAAGUAAAAUUUUCAUUUUCUAGGAGGGUCCUGAACAUAAAGUAAAUUUCUCAUUUUCCAGGAGGGUCCUAAACAUAAAGUAAAUUCCCAUUUUCUAGGAAGGUCCUAAACAUAAAGUAAAUUCCCAUUUUUAGGAGGUUCCUGAAUAUAAAGCAUAUUUCUAUUUUCCAGAAGGGUCCUGAACAUAAAGCAAAUUCCCAUUUUCUAUAAGGGUCCUGAACAUAAAUCAAAUUUUCAUUUUUCAGGAGGGUCCUAAACAUAAAGUAAAUUCCCAUUUUCCAGGAGGGUCCUAAACAUAAAGCAAAUUUCCCAUUUUUCAGAAGGGUCCUGAACAUAAAGUAAAAUUUUUAUUUUUUAGGAGGGUCCAGAACAUAAAGUAAAUUUUCCAUUUUCCAGGAGGGUCCUGAACAUAAAGUAAAUUCCUAUUUUCCAGGAGGGUCCUGAACAUAAAGUAAAAUUUUCAUUUUUCAGGAGGAUCCUAAACAUAAAGUAAAUUCAUAAAUGUGCUUUUCCAAAGGUAGCUGAAUUAAGCAAAGUGAAUUCUGCCCCUGUUUCAACAAAGAAAAUUUAUCAGUUAAAAACUUAGUGGUGGCUUGCAGCACUUGGCUUUCUUGAUGCCUGAUCCAGUGUUCAUUCCCUUUAUCAGAUUGCUGGCACUUGCCCCUGCUUUGUCGCGUCAUUGACCCAAACAUAUAUUAAGGGAAUUGGCUUUGAUUCUAGCAUUGAAUUUUAUUUUACCAUGUCUCCGAUAUACACCUUUUGCAUCAUGUCAUUUCCAUAAAUUCAGAAAUUGGUAGGUUGAUAAACUUCCUUUGUUUUGUUCCAACUUAUGACCUAGUUUCUUUCAUGUGCUGGUCCUGGCCCUGCCCUAUGCAAUUUAGGAGAUUGGCAGCAAGUUUUAAAAUUCUUUCUCACUUGUCUUGACUCAAAAUUGAAUCAAAAAAUGUAAGGAAAUAAUGGUGAUUUUCUUAUUCGAUAAAUGACAUAAAAGACAAAAUAUAUGAAUAUGUAAAAGAAAUAAAUCUUGGCUGAUCAUCAUCAAUCUCGGCUUCCACAAUGACUCGAAGAGAUGGAAUUUUCACUAUUGCAAGUAUGAGUGCUUCCGUCCCGUACACUAACAAAUAUGGAGUUUCCCCUGUUGAAGUGUGAACGAUAGUACGAUAACCUAGCAAAGCAAAAGGAAACUUAGCAUGCCAUUGUCUGGAUCCUUGUACCAUUUUUCGAAGGAUAUUUUUGAUAUUCUUGUUGGCAGCUUCAACAGCGCCAUUUGCCUUCGAACGAUACAGAGUGGAAUUUUGGUGUGCAAUCUUAAACUGUUAACAGACCUCUUGCAUCAAAUGGCUAUUGAGGUUGGCAGCAUUAUCUGUAAUGAUAGCCUUUGGAAUGCCAAAUCUACAAAUGAUGUUAACAUGAACAAAAUCCACCACCGCCUUCUUUGUCACAGACUUGAAAGUCGAUACUUCUACGCACUUUGUAAAAUAUUCAAUGGCUACUAAAAUGAAUCUAUGUCUGUUCAAUGCUUUCGGUUCAUCGUGACUUGGCUUCAUACAUUGUGACUUUUUGCUGAGAUAAUAGAUGUCUUGCUCCUUUUUUUGAGUGAUAUCAUGUUGACCCAACACAUAACCGAAGGAAUUAUCCAUAAUUGAUAAGUACAAAAUCAACGGCCUAUCAGGCUUAGACGGUACCAACAUAGGCGGAUUCAAUAGAUAUAUUUUGAUUUUGUCGAACUCCUUCUGACAUUCCUCUGUCCAUUCAACAAUGACACUCUUCUUCAGCAACUUAAAAAUGGGCUCACAAGUGGUUGUGAGAUGAGCAAUGAAUCUACUGAUGUUGUUCAGCCUACCAAGCAAAAUCAUCAUCUCUUUUCUAUUCUUAGGUGGCGGCAGAUCCUGAAUAGCCUUAAUCUUUGAAGGAUCCAAUUCAAUACCUUUACGACUGACCACGAACCCUAACAAAUUCAUAGAUGAAACUACAAAUACACAUUUUGCUGGGUUGAGUUUGAGAUUAUAGCUGCGAAACCUCUCAAAGAACUUCCUUAAAUAUUUAACAUAAUUUACUUGACUUUUAGACUUAAAUAGACUUUAAUUUCCUUAUGGAUCAUAUCAUGAAACAUAGUGGUCAUGGCCCUCAUGUAUGUUAGUCCAACAUUCUUCAAACCGAAUGACAUCACUCGAUAAUAAUAAGUCCCCCACGGUAUGAUGAAAGAUGUCUUCUCUCCAUCAUCAGCAUCCAUAACUAUUUGGUAGUACCUAGCAUAACAAUCCACAAAAGAAGCAACCUCAUAUUUAGCACAAUUAUAUAAUAGAAUAUGAAUGUUUGGUAGUGGAAAAUCAUCAUUCGGGAUGGCCCUAUUCAAAUCACGAUAAUCGAUACACACUCGAACCUUGCCGUCUUUCUUUGGGACAAAAACAACAUUGGACAACCAAUUAGGAUAGCGAGCAACUCGAAUGACCUUGGCUUUGAUCCGUUUCAUGAUUUCCUCUUUAAUUUUCAUGAUUACAUCGGUUUUGAAUUUUCUCAACUUCUGUUUGACAAGGGGUAUCGCAGGGUCAGUCAGCAACUUGUAGACCACUAAUUUGAUGCUUAAACCCGGCAUAUCAUCGGAAGACCAUGCAAAAACUUAUUUAUAAACAAUUAAUGCUUGUAUCAUCCCUUCUUUUAAUUGUGGUAAAGCAUGUACACUUAUUUUAGUUUCCCUAACCUCUUCUUGAUCGCCAAGAUUAGUUGACUCAGUUUCAUUCAAAUUAGGAUUCAACUUGGCUUCAAAUUAUUGCAACUCUUUGCUUAUUUCUUCCAAUGUCUCUUCUUUAUCACAUUCCACCUAUUGAUUUAUUACAUCUUGAUUAGGCUGGAUUUUAAGAUCUGGCUGAAAAUUCUGCAUAUAUGUCGUAUCACUAGAAUCUGCAUAAUGCGAACUGUAUAAAGAAAAGACAAAUAAAAUGCAUUAGAGAUAAAACAAAAGGGACAUUGCAUUUCAUUACAAAAAAAUACAUGAGGGUUUAUACAUAAGCGACGACAAAAAUAUAAACACGACAUAUCCCAAAUUACAACCCUGAAAUAACUUGGAUAACAGAAAGAAGAACAAAAUAAGCUACCUAAACUCCCUCCUGAUGGGGAAAAGAGUGACUUUCCUAUUGCUGAGCUGCACACCAGGGCCUAUGAACUGUAUAUCUGCCUUACUGGUACCUUCUCCCACUUCAACCAUAUUAGAUUUAACGAACAGGUUUUAGAAAUCAACUAACUCAGCUUUCACCUCUUGUAUGUGCUUUAUAACACUUCUUUGCCAAAUGGCUUAUUGAGUAGUGGCACUGGGUGGGGGAGUGACCAUGUUUCCUUCUUUUGCUUCUUGGACUUUUUCCAAUCUUCAACUGUAGGUUUGAAACCUAAACCAAAACUACCCAGGUUCUCACUUAGACAUAUUGGAAGAGCUAUACCAUGUAAAGAUACUUGUAAACCCUUUCUUGGCUCAAAGUCGUAUUUCAAUAUCUGGUUAACCAUCAUGACAAAAGCAGGAGAUAACUAUGGCCCUGGAAAAACAUGUCUUUCAUAGAUAUGAUCCACAAAUACUGCAUAAAAAGAUUGAUAGACUAAUGUAGCCUCUGCAUUAUUUUUCUCGACAAAAGGCAUGGAAGAGUCUUUAUAGAUGGCCAAAUCCCCUUCACCGUGAAUGAUCACCUCCUGCUUGUCAUGUUCAAACUUAAUUAUCUGGUGCAACGUCGAUGCAACGGCUCCAGCCUUAUGAACCCACGGUCUUUCCAAUAACAAAUUGUAAAAGGCAUCGAUAUUCAAUAGUUGAAACUCUAUGGCAAAUUCGACGGACCCUAUAGUCAAUAUUAGCUCUAUUUCACUAAUGAAAUCUAUUUUCACUCCAUUAAAAGCUCUGACACAUACAUUGUUGGGUCAAAUCCUCUCGGUAUUGAUGUUCAUUUUUUGCAAAGUAGACAGAGGAUAAAUAUUCACACCAGAACCUCCAUCAAUCAUGACACGAGUGACAUAGAAGCAUUCAUACUUCACAGUAAUGUAAUGGCCCCAAGUAUGCCCCAUACCUUCCACAGGCAACUCAUCAUCCGAAAAGCUAAUCCUAUUUACCUCAAAAAAAUUUCCAAUAAUUUUCUCCAAUUGAUUUACCAUAACUUCCCUAGGGAUGUAAGCUUCAUUCAACACCUUUAGCGCAAUAUUACAUUGUUCAUUAGAAUGCAACAUCAUGGAAAAAAGAGAUAUUUGAGUUGGAGUCUUCCUCAACUGAACUAUGAUUUAGUAUUCAAGUAAUUUUAUCUUUUUCAAAAUCUCUUAAGCUUCUUCCUUGGUGAUGGGUUUUUUGAGAGUCGACUGGCUAUUCACCAUUGAUUUAGACUUCCUUAAACCUUUUGGGACAAAACACCUUCCUGAAUGAGUCAAAACACCAACUACAUUCACUUCAUCCACAAUUUCCUUCCCUUGAUAAUACAUCCCAGUCUGCUUAUAAUUUCAAGGGACUUUUUUGAGGUCGAUCAACGGGAGUUGUGUCACUGGCUUAAUGAUAGUAGGCACCGCAGGUAUCCCUUUCACAGUCAAAAUAGGCUUUCUUGGGGCUCCCAAUACCAUUAAAUUUGGCUUAUCCUGACUCAGCCCAAUAAUUUUUCCCACUCCUUUGACAAUCAGCACAGGUUUCUUCUCAUUUCCUUGAGUUUCCUUUUCUAUCAUCUUCUUUGGAAUCAAAGACAUUACCUUCAUCGAAUAUGCAACAUUCACCGAAUUCUCCUUAUUAGUUGGGAUCCUAACGAUUGGCUUUUAAGACACCAUGGACUCUUUACCUUCAUAUAUCAACUACAAUAUGUUCAUUUUAGCAUGGAAUGGCAAUGGAUUUUGGUUGAUGUUUGAAACCUCCGAGGCUUGUACUAUAAUUUAAUUAUGUCGAUCAUAUCCUGAAUUGCUCAAAUACCAACAUCUUUCUGUAUCAUGCUCAGGCAUAUCAGAAUAGUAUGCACAUCUUAGAUAAUAAUCAAGGUUACUUGGGGGCAGAUUCAGAAGCUUUCCUUCGAUUGGUCUCAGGACCUUCAUAUUUAUCAACUUCUGAAACAAACUAGUAUAUGACUCUCUGAUGGGUGUGAAAUCAUUCUUGAUUUCCUUCUCUUUCUUAAACUAGAACCUAGGUCAAAAACCAGAUUUAUAAGGGUUUUGGUAAUUUUGUGGAGCUAAAGGACGAUUUUGAAGGGUUAGCGUAUACCAUUAUGGGUGGAAAGGGGUUUGAACGUAUGGUUGUGCGCUAUAUACUGGGUAUGAGGGUAGUGGAAUAGGAGACGAUGGAUUUUGUGGAGUGUAGUAAUGAUGGGGGGAAUAUAUGGAGCUUGGGCAUAGACUUGGGCUUGAGAUUGGGGAUAAGGGCGAGGUGGUUAUUUCGGAUAUGCAUGUGGCCCAACUACAACAACCACUACAUCCUCCUUCUUCUUCUUCCCUCUGAAAGUUCCAGAACUACUCUAAAUUUCUUGAGUCAUUUCCUUUAAUACGGCAAAGCUCACAAUUCAUCCUGUCUUAAUUCCCUCUUCUAUAAUUUCUCCUAUCUUAAGGACUUCAAAAAAUGGCUUACCCAUCGCCGAAAGUAAGUGUUGAAAAUAGGUUUCAUCUUGUGCCUGAAUAAAGACCUCUACCAAUUUGUUCUCCUUCAUCGAAGGCUUUACCCUUGUGGCCUAUUUAUGCCACCUUAUCGCAUACUCCCUGAAGCUUUCAGUAUUUUCUUCUUCAUAUUAUCCAGGGACUUCUCAUCGGGAAUCAGCUCAAUAUUAUACCAAAAUUGUUGUACGAAUUUGUUAGCCAGGUCAUCCCAGCUAUUCCAUUUGUCGAUAUCCUGACCAACUAACCAUAAAAAGAUAGACUGGAAAGACUUUCACCAAAGUAAGCCAUAAGUAACUCUUCUUUUCCUCCCACACCCCUCAAUUGGUUACAAUAACAUCUUAAAUGCGCCAUGGCAUCACCGUGUCCAUCGUACUUCUCAAACUUCAGCGUCUUAAAGCUAAGAUGAAGGUUGACGCCUGGGAACUUGCAUAGAUCUUUAUAGGAAAUACUCUUAUAACCCUCGAGUCCCUGUAGGUGUCUCAAGGCCUGUUCUAAACUCUGUAAUUUCCAUAAUAUGCCUUCCUGUUCUUCAGUCGUAUCAGGUUUCUCUGUAUCAAAGUAAAAUGCAGGAGGGUGAUUGUAACAAUACGGAUCAUUCAUCUUCAAGGUAAGCUCCAGAGCAUGUUGGUGAGCCUCUAGCAUUUUAAACACUAGUUCACUAGCAAACCCGAUGAGUAUAAUUAUUGGACGCACAACAUAAGUAGGAGCUUCAGAUGGUGGUAGAGCCACAAACACAGGUGUUGUAGGUUGUGCUGGCUGAGCAGUGGGCCUUGGUUGGGGAAUUGACAAGGGCACACUAGAAGUUCCUGGAUAAUACUAAUGUGAAGUUAAUCCUGGUGCGUGCUUGAGUGACUCAGUAGAAGCAGAAAAUUGUGCCUGGGAGAGCGGCGGGCAAUUGAAGAUGUUCCCAAGAUCUUUAGAGAAUGGAAGAGGAGCCAUGCCACCAGCCCAGGCACGGUGUAGAUCUGUCAAUUGUUUCCUUAGUCUCAAUAUCUAAUCAUUGCAUUCUGAACCCUCUUCUCUAAGAUCCUGUUUGGGUCAACAAGUGAAUUUUUGAUCUCCCUGUUAGCCAUGGCGAGCUUUGCUUUUGAUUUAAUGGAUUAAGGGUGACUAGAUAGAGUGCUACAAACCAACCAAUUUUAUCUGAAAGAACAUGCUUAUCAAAGACAAAACCCGUUAGGAUUAGGUCAGACAAUAAGCGUGGAAAUCACAUUGUAUAUACAUCCUAGAUUCAUGCGCAUUUCUACCAGCUUUUGAGGGUAGUGAGGUCAUUUUAACAUUAUCCCAAUUGUUCGCUUACACUAUUUUUCUCUUCCCCUCUUAUCACACCUCAUUUUUUUCUACCUUUUUGCCCUCGCUUCUCUCUUCUUUGCCUCAGUUUCUUUUCCUUAUCCUUUCUUCUCUCACGAUUCUUUCCUUCUUUUUAUCAUUCUUUAUGGUUUUUCCUUUUGGUUAAAAGAAGAAAAUUAAGGAAAAACAAAAAAAAUGAUUAGAUCGAACCUAAAAAUAGGUUGCCUACAUAUUAUGUUGUACAUGAAUCAGAUCUUACGUAGUUCGGGACGUAUGCACAGAGUUGAUGAUUUUUUUAUUUUUGAUUGAUGUUUUUUUUAUCUUUUGAUUUUUAAUUUUUUUUAAUGACGAAAACCAAAACAAAAUAAAGUACAACACACACCAUUACAUUUCAUAAAAGAAAGAAAUAAAACAAACUUUAAAUUUAAGACAACCUUAAUACUAGUCAACAAAGACUAAACAAUACUGUAGACCCACAGGACAACAUGCGUGACACUCCUAACAAAGACUUCAAUGUUAAAACAAACUUGACACCGACUUAACAAAGACACAACAAAAUAAUAAAAAAAAUAAAGGACUCAAACUUAAAUAAAAGAUAGGAAGUGCCCUCCUUCAAACUGCUGCACCGCAUGAUGGCCCUGGCUAAGAUGAACUCAUCUGUGAAGUUCCUGCUUUCCCACUUAAAUUCUGCAACAUAUCAUGUAAUGACACUUUGAUAUUUGAGAAGAAGCUUCUGGCAUGUAUUCCGACCUCUUGGGGAGUACACCUGAAAAGACUUUUCUGAUACCCUUCCACAGUUGUGAGCAAACCUGAUAACUGUACUCUUAACGACUCAAUUUUGGCCCCUGCAUCUUCACCCUCAUAGUUAUCAACUAUACAAGCUUUCUGUAUUCUCCCUCUAAGUUGUGCUGGGAAUGGUCUACUGACACCCCGGGAAAUAUAUUGUAGCCAUAUUCCAUAUCCUAGAGUGUAUCCUGGAUUAUCUAAAUCUGCCCUGAGAGUAUCCACACCCUGCCACAUUGCAUUAUUCCAGAACUGGUCAUAUUUAAUCUCACCCCUAGCUUGGUCCCUAAAGUACUCAACAUAUUUUUGGAGGUCCAUUAUCGGUGGAACGUCUUGCAAUCUACCUAACUAAUACAUUACCCUAAGGGGAGUGUAUGGUCGGGUAUAAUUAAGCCCCAAUAAAACUAGAUAGAGUUGCAAGCUACAUGCGACCAAGAUUGUUUUCGAGCGAAGCCAAAAAUAGGUCCAUAGGAUAUUUCCAUUUAUUCUUUAUUUGAGAAAUUCAAUCCAAGCAUCGACUCCUACUGGCAAUGAGAAUUUAUCAAAGCGCAUUCUCUCUUCCAUAGCUUUCACUUGAUCUAAGAGACAACGAUCAAUCAUAGUUGAUUUUAUCAAAGACAGAACAUGCAAAUGCUCCAUCAUCCAUAGUUGCAACACUAGAUAACUUUCUUUGAAGAACCGCAUCCCCCUUUUACUUCAGUUAGGGCCUUAUAUAUCUCUACUAAAAGCAUAGGUAUGAUAGUAACCUUGUCCCCUUUCUCCUCAUGAAAUAAGGCCAUCACUACAGAUUGUAAAUGGGUAUUAACAUGCCUUUCAUUUAGUGGAAACACUAGAGUGAGUAACAAAGCGAGGGCAAGGACUUCAAGACGCUUUCUUUCCCAAUUCUUCGUAGUUAUAUGAAAUUCAUCCCAAAAAUAAUCAAAACCUCCUAAUGAUCUGAAUCGAGCGAACAAGUAGUCUAGGGAAAUCCAUGAUUGAUUAAGGUAUCCCAAAUGCCUAUUUUUACUUCUUAAAUCACAGCCUUGAACAAACCUCGUGUUAGUAUGAUUGCGGUCUCGGAUCAUCUGUAGACCGAUGUAAGGCAACUGACAUAGACCAGAUAUUUUUGACAGAGUAGGCCUCAUUUCACAAUUCUCGAACCUAAACACCAAACUACUAGGAUCCUAAAAAGUUGAUGCUGCUUCUAUCAGAUCUGGAUGGGGUGUAAGACGCAGGAGUGCCAUAAGAUUACCCAAUACUAUCUGUAGCUCAUGCUGUUCGGAGUAGUUGAACGCACCCCACCGCUUGAUUAACUUUUUAGGGACCUUGAAAACCAUCCGAACUCUAGACUUUGUGGUUAGGUCCAUCCUGAAAUAACACAUAGGGCAUCAACUAAAAAUUUGAUAAGAAUAAAAGAUUCCCAACCCUUGGGACUUUGACGCGGACAUAUGUCGAAGGGACAAACCACUUUAUGACUCCAAUUCACUGAACAACACCACUGAAUGAAAUCAGCCUACUUGCCUAGAACUAGAUAACAAUGCUAGAUUAUGAGGAGAAAUACCCUAGGCUAAGACUAAGACAAAGGCCAAAAAUAAAGAUUACUGGACCCACCAAGGGCUGCCUACGUAUCCAGCUCCGAGGGAUGGGAAUCAGGUAUGCAUAAUUCGUACAGAUUGGACAAUUAAAUAUUAACUAACAGAUUGACCCUAACUUAAGAGACAUGACCAAAGAUAGAUGAUUUUUUUUUGAGGUUCAAUUUAACACUUCACAUAAAACAGACACCAACAACUAUGAAAGAAAAUCCUAUUGGUAAUUUCAUUAUAUGAAAUGUACAAAAUUCUACCAUUUUUGAAUUUUUCUUUUAUAAAAGCUCCUAUGAAGAAAAAUCUUUCUUUUUCAAAAGAUUUUGAUUUACAAAUGACUACUAAUGGAACUAAAGAUAAAUUGUUUUUGAUAUUUUUAUUUUUUGGAGAAAAUAAGUGCAACAGGAAAAAAUCUUUUUGAUGUUUUUAAAUUGUAAAAAAUGAAAGCCAUAAAGAACUCUAAAAAAAACUAUGAAACACUCUUUUACUUUACUCACCUUUUUCUUUUUCUCCCACCUGCAAAAUAAAAAUGCAAUUCAAUAUAUACAUCAUCAUGCAACACACAUUAUUACAAUAAUCACACAACACACUACAUCAACAAAUCAUUUAAGCAAUUUAAAUCAACAACACUUAAACGAUGAAUCCAACAUUAUUCAAAAUAAUUAAACACUCCUAAAGAUUUUUCACUACUUAAAAGAUACGUUCAAAAAUAUCUAAAAAAUAUCUAAAAGUCAAGUCCAACAACACUAAGGAGUAUCCCCAACAAACUCCUCAUCACUCUUUGUUUCCUCUUUGCUACUUGAAUUAGAAGCAACGACAUGUGUCAAGGCAUGUCUAAGAUGUGCAAUCUAAUGUGACAUAGCAGCAUGUCUCUCAAAAAUUUUAAAAAUGACCUGAUCGUGCUUUGCCAACCAAUAACACAUUGUCUGAAAAUCAAUUGACUAGUGUCACACCCCUUUUUAACUCCAAAAGAUUGAUUUUAAGUUUGAAAGGACUUUUAUUAUCAAAGUGAAAAAAAGUUUAAAAUUUGUUUUGAAAAGGGAUUAUUUAUAUUUUGUUAUUCAGAGUCGCCACUUGACAUGAACACGGUGUGCCAAGUGACCUUUGAAAAUCCUUUUCAAAACUGUUUGACUCUUUAAACUGAUUUGUGAAUAGAGAUUUUGGGUAAGGAAUUCUAUUCACCGAGGGGAAGGUGUACGCACCCCUCGAUCCCGUGGUUCGACCACGGUCGCUUGGUGGAAUGUAUCGGCUAAUCCUAAACUACUCUCUAAUGCUUUACCCGAUGCCUCGGGCCUUCGGCACAGAUGUCCUCUGAGUACAAAAUACUUCGAGGCAUUCCCCGGUGAAUAUAUACACAUAACUUCGGGGCAUUCCCCAACAAAUAAAUCCAUUGAUAGAAAUAUAGUAAACAAAACCAUCCAACAAAUAUUCCAAACAUUCCACAAUACACAAGUUCUAAAUUUACCUUCCCAACCUAUUAUUUGCCUAUCCAUCCAAUGGCCUAAUCAUGAUACAACAGCAUUUAACAUCCGUGUUUGUUCCAAAAAAACAAACCCCAAUAAAUUAAGAUUCAUUAAUAUUUAUUUUUAUCAACUCCCAAUGUCCAACCCCAAAUUAAAUUUUUAAUCCACAACUACCAAAUGAGACAAUUAACAACACAUUAACACCAAACUUGUAUCAUAAUCAAAGGUUCCACAACAAAUAUUUACAAAAACACACAAUCACAUCAACAAACACAUAAUCAUAGUAUCAAUUCGAUAAAUUAAGAUAAAAUGGAGAGAGAGAGUUAAACAAAUGGACCUUUUGAUAAUUAAAUUUAGUUAAUAAUAAUGAGUUAAAGAAAACCCAAACUCAAAAUCCUCUAACGGAGAGCCUCAACAACUAACAAAUCCAAUCGAUGUCAAGAAUCCAUACCCAAAUUUUGAUUCAAACACAAAUACGAGAAAAAUAUAAGAAACCCAAAAUAAAUACACCCUAAUCCAUACAAAAUACUGACACCAUCACGAAUCUGGAUUAAUUUUAGGGUGGAAACAGGACUGGUGAGUCGUCUGACCUUGUUGGAAAAGCUAUGGAUGGUGUAGGUGGAUUUUAUCAGUGGUGAAUCCCAUAAAUUUAUGGCAAGAAACUCUCUGGAAACCGUCAAACCCGUCCUCUUUUCUCCCUCCAUUCACUCUCUCUCUAUUUAUGCUUAAUUUCUCUCUCAAUUUUAUCUCUCUUGAUUAUUUCUUCCCUAUAUGUGUCCCUUCUGAGUGUGUGAGUUUUUGUGUGUGAGAGUCUCCUAAUGGGGAGUUGUAUGCACUGAUAAGAAAGAAUGAGAAAAAUGGUGGAGCUCCCCCUUUUCCACAAGCUGUGUCCCCUCUGUUUUUCCCCUUCUCCCUUUUUUAAUUCUCUAUAUAGGCAUUGUUAUUGUCUCUUCUUCAAAGAAGAUAGAAAUAAAGUCAAUGUAGUUGUUGUUGUUGGCACGUGGGGUUGUUAGGUAGUGGAUGGGAUAAGGUAUAGGUAGAGGAUAGGUAGGGGUAGGGUAUGUAGAUGAGUGAAAAUUAUUUUUAGGAGGGACAAAAUUAUGUGUCUACAUUAUGCCCCCUUUGAAUGUAUACACAAAGUGUUUUCAAACAAAGAAGUAGACAAUGAGAUAGAAUUUUGUCUCGAUCAUUAUUCAAAAGAAAGGAGCAAAAGGGAGAGAGGCAAUCGAGUCAUGAUUUUGGGCAUUCUACCUGUCUCAAGUUAUGUGAGAGUCAGGUCACAGUUAUCUCGAAGGAUUGGAAAGAGGAGGACUAUACCGAGUUGGAGAUUCAAGCGAGGUCCUGUCGAGGUUUUGGUCCGCAACUCUGCUAUACAUCAAAAUAAACAUUACAAGUUAAAAAGAUAACUGAAAUUACAAAAGUCCUAUUUAUGCAGCUUCUUUUGGACUCUUGACUUUAGUUUCUGAUACUUUCAAAAUGUACAAAAGAUCUGAUCAUUCUUUGGGUUGAACUUGAGAAUAGAUACUUUCUCCAUAUAAACUUUGAUGUUUGGAGAUAAACUCACAAAUUAACCAUGUUCUGUCGGAGGUAAUUCUGAACCUUGAUCCUGAAUUUGAAAAUCUCUACCCUAUUCUUCAGGCAGGCUUCUGACUUACAAUUUUUCACCUUGUUGCUUGACUUUCAAUCUCUUAACCUUGUUGCUUGACUUUUCAAUUAUUCACCUUCAGGUGGGCUCCUGACUUUUAAUUUCAUCACCCUGUUCUUCAGGCAGGCUCCUGACUUUAAAUUUCUUCACUCUAUUCUUCAGGCGGUCUCCUGACUUUCAAUUUCAUCACCCUAUUCUCUAGGCGGACUCCUAAAAUAAAUGUCGAAACUAAAACAUAAAUUAUCCCAAACAAAGAGUUUGAUUAAGAAAGAGUCCAUUUUUUCAAAAUAAAGUCUUAUUUGUCAGAAGGGUCCUGAACAUUAAGUAAAUUCCCAUUUUUCAAGAGGGUCUUGAAUAAAAAAGUUAAUUCCCAUUUUCCAUGAGGAUCUUGAGAAUAAGUAAAUUCCCCUUUUCUAGGAGGGUCCUGAACAUAAUGUAAAUUCUCAUUUUUCAGGAGGGUCCUGAACAUAAAGUAAAUUUUCCAUUUUCUUGGAGGUUCUUGAACAUAAAGUAAAUUUCCUAUUUUCCAGGAGGAUCCUGAACAUAAAGUAAAUUCCCAUUUUCCAGGAGGGUCCUAAACAUAAAGUAAAUUUCCCAUUUUCCAGGAGGGUCCUGAAUAUAAAAUAAAUUUCCCAUUUUCCAGGAGAGUCCUGAACAUAAAGUAAAUUUCCAUUUUCCAGGAGGGUCCAGAACAUAAAGUAAAUUCCCAUUUUCCAGGAGGAUCAUGAACAUAAAGCAAAUUUCCAUUUUUCAGGAGGGUUCUAAAUAUAAAUAAAAUUUCUAUUUUACAAGAGGGUUCUGAACAUAAAGUAAAUUCCCAUUUUCUAGGAGGGUCCAGAACAUAAAGUAAUGUCCCAUUUUCCUAGAGGGUCCUGAACAUAAAAGAAAAUUCUCAUUUUCCAGGAGGGUCUUGAACAUAAAGUAAAUUUCCCAUUUUCCCGGAGGGUUCUAAACAUAAAGUAAAUUUCCAUUUUCCAGGAGCGUCCUGAACAUAAAGUAAAUUUCCUAUUUUCCAGGAGGGUCCUGAACAUAAAUUCACAGAUGUUCUUUACCAAAGGUAGCUGAAUUAAGCGAAGUGAAUUCUGCCUCUGUUUCAACAAAGAAAAUUUGUUAGUUAAAAAUUUAGUGGUAGCUUGCAGCACUUGGAUUUUUCGAUGCCUGGUCCAGUGUUCAUUCCCUUCAUUUUGUUUCAGAUUACUGGCACUUGCCCCUACUUUGUCGCGUCAUUGGCCCAAACACAGAUUAAGGGAAGUGGCUUUGAUUCGAGCAUUGAAUUUUAUUUUACCAUGUCUCCGAUAUACACCUUUUGCAUCCUGUCAUUUCCAUAAAUUCAGCAAUCGGUAGGUUGAUAAACUUCAUUUGUUUUGUUCCAACUUAUGACCAUGUUUCUUUCAUGUGCUGGUUCUGGUCCCGCUCUAAGCAGAGGAGAUUGGUAGCAAGUUUUGAAAUUCUUUCUCACUUGUUUUGACACAGACUUGACUCAAAAAGUGUAAAGAAAUAAUGGUGAUUUUAUUAUUUGAUAAAUGAUAUAAAAGACCAAACAUAUGAAUAUGUAAAAGAAAUAAAAUGACAAUGUCCCUUUUUUUAGAAAUGGAAAAGGAGAAAAACUUAUCUAAAUACUGCAGACAACUCUAAUGAUUCUGACAUGCACUUUAGAUUAAACCGCCUGAUCUUCUAACCCAAACUUUGCCACUUGUUAUUGAUUUAAUUCCCUGAAACCGAGUUGCCUCUUCCAGGCUACUGAAUUCAUAUAUCUCUCAGCUGACUAGUGGCGCCUUGAAGGGUUUUCGCCAGCAACCUUUUUUUUUAUUUCUCACCAUAGCCUUACGGUGCCCGUGGGGGUUUUCACUAAUAAGACUCUCUAUUUUUUAUUUCUCUCAACUCAUCAUCGCCUUACGGUGUCCUUGAGGGUUUUCACCAAUAAGGCUUUCUCAUUUUUGUUUCUCUCAACUCACCAUCGCCUUACGGUGCCCAUGAGAGUUUUCAUCGAUAAGACUCUCUCAUUUUUAUUUCUCAUAUUUCCCCCAUAAUGAUGCUGGAAAUAUAGUACCAAAACCUUGUCAUAUAUCCAUCGCAUGUUUCGCCUUGACAUUCUUGAAGAUUGAUCUAAAGGUCUUUCUUCAGUUGUAACUUGGCUUUUGGACAAGGUCAAAAAGAAAAAAUGACAUGAGGCUCAAACGACACGUGAAGUAGGGUGGGAUUUACAACUUUUGGAGUUGACUUAAACAGCAAAAAUUAACUCAUGCCCAAGAUUCUUUUGAUUGGGUAACUCUAAAUUGUUCAUUUGGUUGGACCAAACCCAAAAUAGGGUUUCCUACGUAUCUCACCCCCGAAAAAGGCGAAUCAGGUCAAACGUAGUUCCAGCGACUUGUUCUUUGUUUUUGGGUUGAUUAUUUUUUCUUUUUUUUUCUUUCUCUUUUUUUAAAUCUUUUGAUUCUUCUUUUCUUGACACUUUUAUCCCUUUUUACUCUAUUUUGAUUCCAAAAGAGAGAUAUGGAAGAAAAUAAAAACCAAAUCUCAAAAGGGUAAACAAAGGAUGACACAAUAUUGGAUUAUUAAAGUAAAAUGACUUCAUCAUAUAAAUUUUAAAAAAUGUCAAGACUAAACAUUCAAUAGAAAUAAUCAGGGAUAAAGAUCAUACAUAAUAUCUUUUAACUGCAUCAGUAUUGAUAGCUAUUUCUGCCACUUUUUCUUCUAUAUCUGUCAAGUAUAAGGCUCCAUUGGGUAACACUUUAUUUACAAUUAAGGGUCCUUGCCAAUUUGAGGAAAAUUUGCCUUUAGCUUCAAUUCGAUAAGGGAGGAGCCACUGAUCAUCAUCAAUCUCGGCUUCCACAAUGACUCAAAGGAAUGGAAUUUCCACUUCGGCAGGUAUGACUGCUUCCGUCCCGUACACUAACAAAUAUGGAGUUUCCCCUGUUGAAGUACGAAUGGUAGUACGAUAACCUAGCAAUGCAAAAGGGAACUUCUUAUUCCAUUAUCUGAACCCUUGUACCAUUUUCCACAGGAUCUUUUUGAUAUUCUUGUUGGCAGCUUCAACGACACCAUUUUUCUUCGAACGAUACGGAGUGGAAUUUUGGUGUGCAAUCUUAUACUUUGACACACCCCUUGCAUCAAAUGGUUGUUAAGGUUGGAAGAAUUAUCUGUAAUGAUAGCCUUUGGAAUGCCAAAUCUACAAAUGAUGUUAGCAUGAACAAAAUCCACCACCGCCUUCUUUUUCACUGACUUGAAAGUUGCUGCUCCUACCCACUUUGUAAAAUAGUCAAUGGCUACCAUAAUGAAUCUAUGUCCGUUCGAUGCUUUUGAUUUAAUCGGUCCAAUCAUGUCCAUCCCCCAAGCUACAAAAGGCCAUAGAGAUGACAUUGUAUGUAACUCAGUAGGAAGAGAGUUUAUUAGAUCAUUGUGUACCUGACAUUGAUGACAUUUUAGAACAAAAUGGAUAGAGUCCCUCUCUAUAGUAAGCCAAUAAUAACCUAUCGAGGUAUCUUCUUUGACAACACAUAACCAUUUAUAUGUGACCCACAUACUCCGGAAUGUACUUCAACCAUGAUUAUCAAAGCUUCUUUUGCAUCUACACACCUCAAAAGUCCCAGAUUAGGGGUUUUCUUGUAAAAGAUUCCCCCACUUAAGAAAAAUCCAUUGGCCAAAUGCCUAAUAGUUCUCUUUUGAUCACUGGUGGCAUGUGUUGGAUAUUCUCCUGACUGAAUGUAUCACUUGAUAUCAAAGAACCAAGGCUUGCAAUCGAGCUCUUCUUUAACCGUAUUACAAUAAGCAUGUUGAUCACAUCUCUGUAUAUGCACUGGAUCAAUAUAAUCCCUAUCAGGAUGUUAGAGCGUCAAAGAUAAUGUGGCUAGACCAUCAGCAAUCUCAUUACGAACUCUCGGAAUAUGCCUAAACUUUACUGACACGAACCAUUGACAUAGACUUUGCAAGCAUUAUCGAUACGGUAUAAGAUUUAAAUCCCGUGUCUCUCAUUCGCCUUGAAUCUGGUGGACAACCAAGUCUGAGUCUCCCAACACUAAUAAUUCUUGAACUCCCAUGUCAAUAGCUAGCGUUAGCCCCAAAAUGCAAGCUUCAUAUUCUGCCAAGUUGUUGGUACAAUAAAGCUUUAUACUCAGUAAACAAUAUUUGCCAUUUUGCAAGUCAACCCGUUGGCAUGGGUUUUUGAAAGAUAUACUUCAAAGGAUCUAUAUGGAAGAUGAGGUAAGUAGUGUAGGAUGAAAGAUAAUACUUCAAACUUUGUGCUACCCAAUUUAGGGCACAACACGUUCUUUCAAGAACAGUGUGCAUGGCUUCAUACAUUGUGAACUUUUUAAUAAGAUAACAAAUGGCUUGCUUUUUCUCAGUGAUAUCAUGUUGACCCAACACAUAAUCAAAGGAAUUAUCCAUAACUGAUAAGUACAAAAUCAAGGGCCUACCAGUCUCAAGCGGUACUAACACAAGCGGAUUCGACAGAUAUCUUUUGAUUUGUCGAAUGCCUCCUGACAUUUCUCUAUCCAUUCAACAAUGACACUCUUCUUCAGUAACUUAAAAAUGGACUCACAAGUGGUUGUGAGCUGAGCAAUAAAUCUACUGAUGUAGUUCAGCCUACCAAGCAAACUCAUCACCUCUAGUCUAUUCUUAGGUGGCGGCAGAUCCUAAAUAGCCUUGAUCUUUAAAGAAUCCAAUUCAAUACCUCGACGACUGACCACAAAUCCUAACAACUUCCCAGGCGGAACUCCAAAUACAUAUUUUACUGGGUUGAGUUUGAGAUUACACCUGCGAAGCCACUCGAAGAACUUUCUUAGAUCUUUAACAUGAUCUACUUGACUUUUGGACUUAAUGAUCACAUCAUCUACAUAGACUUCACUUUCCUUAUGGAUCAUAUCUUAAAACGUAGUGGCCAUGGCCCUCAUGUAUGUUGCUCCAUUAUUCUUCUAACUGAACAACCUCACUCGAUAAGAAUAAGUCCCUCACGGUGUGAUGAAAGAUGUCUUCUCUGAAUCAUCAACAUCCAUAACUAUUUGGUGGUACCCAUCAUAACAAUCAACAAAAGAAGCAAUCUCAUAUUUAGCACAAUUAUAUAAUAGAAUAUGAAUGUUAGGUAGUAGAAAAUCAUCCUUCGGGCUGGCCCUGUUCAAAUCACAAUAAUCGAUAAAAAGAAUUUGAUGGCCUAAUCAUGAUACUAAAGCAUUUAACAUCCGUGUUUGUUCCAAAAUAACGAACCCCAAUUAAUCAAGAUUCAUCAAUAUUCAUUUUUAUCAACUCCUAACAUCUGACCCUAAAUUAUAUUUUUUAUCCACAACUACCACAUGAGACAAUUAUCAACACAUUAACACCAAACUCGUAUCAUAAUCAAUGGUUCGACAUCAAACAUUCACAAAAACAUACAAUCACAUCAACAAACACAUAAUCAUAAUAUCAAUCCAAUAAAUUAAAAUAAAAUAGAGAGAGAGAGAGUUAAAGAAAUGGUCCUUUUGAUAAUUAAUUUUGGUUUUAUAAUAAUGAGUUAAAGAAAACUCGAACUCAAAAUCUUCAAAUGGAGAGCCUCACCAACAAAUAAAUCCAAUCAGUAUCAAGAAUCCACACCCAAAUUUUGAUUCAAAUACAAAUACGAGAAGAAUAUGAGAAACCCAAAAUAAAGACACCCGAAUCCACAUAAAAUACUGACACCAACAUGAAUUUGGAUGAAUUUUGGGGUAGAAACGGGAUUGGUGAACCAUCUAAUCUUGCCAGAACAAUAAUGGAUGGUACGGGCGGUGUUUAUCAGUAGUUAAUCUGGUGAAUUUAUGGCGAUAAACUCAUUGACAACCAUCAAACCCAUCCAUUUUUUCCUUCCAUUCACACUCUCUCUGUUUAUGCUUAAUUUCUCUUUCAAUUCACUCUCUCUCUCAAUUUUUGUCUUCCCUAUGUGUGUACCUUCCAUGUAUGUGAGUUUUUGUGUGUGAGAGUCUCCUAAUGGGGAGUUAUGUGCACUGAUGAAGAAAGAAUAAAAAAAAUAGAGGAGCUCCCCUUUUUCCACAAUUUGUGUCCCCUCUGUUUUCCCUUCUCCCCUUUUUAAUUCUCUAUGUGUGCAUUGUUACUGUCUCUUUUUCAAAGAAGAAAGAAAGAAAGUCAAUGUAGUUGUUGUUUAUGGCAUGUGGGGUUGUCAGGUAGUAGGUGAGAUAAGGUACGGGUAGAGGAUAGGUAGGGGGUAUGGUAUGUAAAUGAGUAAAAAUUAUUUUUUGAAGGGACAAAAUUAUGUGUCUACAACUAGUGUUAUACGAUAUAUAUAUAUAUAUAUAUAUAUAUAUAUAUAUAUUAAAGUUAACUAAAUAAUAAUUAAAUCUAAUAUACCUUAAACUCUUGAAACAUGGCUUGUUUAAAGACUAUUGGAAUGUCCCAUCACUCGUGCCAAUGAUAUGUAAAAAGUCUCAUAACGCUCUCCCUUACAGCUUCAUUAACUUCUUUUGACGCGGGAUACCACUUGUAAAAACAUAAUAAGUAUGUAAGUUUAAAUAUUUUAUUAAUUAAAAAAUAAACCUAUCAAUUAAAAAAAAAACUUAUGAAGAUCCAUCAGGCUCGAUGAAUAUUCUACCAAAUAUGUUCGUAUCUCCAGGAAUUAGACCAAUUAAAUCUGCAUCAAUAUCUUCUUCUACAGAAGGAGGUGGAGGUGGAGGUGGAUGUGGUGGUGACUUGAUCAUUUUGAAGUCACUAGUACACAUUUCAAAACACUACACUUAACGAUUUUCAAGUAAUGAAUUCACAUUACAAAUGAUAAUGCAAAUCAUUUUCAAGUCAUGAAUUGACAUUUCAAGUGACAACACUAAAUCAAUUUCAAGUCAUGAAUUCACAUUUUCAAAUGAUUGCACUUUACUAAUUUCAAAACACAAGUUCAUCUUUCAAGUAACUACACUAAACCAUUUUCAAGUCACUAAUUCACUUCUCAAGUGACUACACUUGAUUAAUUUGAAGUCACUAGUAGACAUUUCAAAACACUAUACUUAACCAUUUUCAACUCUCUAAUUCACUUCUGAAGUGACUAAACUUAACCAUUUUCAAGUCAUGAAUUCACAUUUCAAGUGACAACACUAAAUCAAUUUAAAGUCAUGAAUUCACACUUUCAAGUGAUUACACUUUACUAAUUGCAAAAUACAAGUUCACCUUUAAAGUAACUACACUAAACCAUUUUCUAGUCGCUAAUCCACUUCUCAAGUGACUACACUUGAUCACUUUAAAGUCACUAGUACACAUUUCAAAACACUACACUUGACCAUUUUCAACUCUCUAAUUCUCAUUUCAAAUGACUAAGCCUAACCAUUUUCAAGUUAUGAAUUCACAUUUCAAGUGUCAACACUAGACUAAUUUCAAGUUAUGAAUUCACAUUUUCAAUUGAUUACACUAAGAUAAUUUCAAAACACAAGUUGACCUUUUAAGAACUACACUAAACCAUUUUUAAGUCGCUAAUCCACUUCUCAAGUGACUAGUACACAUUUCAAAACACUACACAACCAUUUUCAACACUCUAAUUCACAUUUCAAGUGACUAAACUUAAUCAUUUUCAAGUCAUGAAUUCACAUUUCAAGUAUCAACAUUAAACCAAUUUCAAUUCAUGAAUUCACAUUUUCAAGUGAUUACACUUUACUAAUUUCAAAGCACUAGUUCAUCUUAGAACUAAACUAAAUUAUUUUCAAGUUGCUAAUCCACUUUUUAAGUGACUGGUACACAUUUUAAAACACUACAAUUAAUCAUUUUCAACUCUCUAAUUCACAUUUCAAGUGACUAAACUUAAUCAUUUUCAAGUCAUGAAUUCACAUUUCAAGUCAUAAAAUUUUUAGUACCACAUUGCCAAUCUAAUUUGUCAAUUUUUAGUUUAAUUUGCUCUAUGUAAUGCUCCUUUGGCUAGGAAAAACAAACAAAAUAGUAUCUUGGAAUGACACUCGACAACCAAAAGACAAACAAAAGAGAAGAAAAAUAAAGUUGCAGUAGAAUAAUAUUCUCCAACACCAGUGUAUGAUCUAAAAUUAAAGCAAAGCAAAUAUUGGCAAAAAUGUCCCGUCCAGUGACAUACUAGUAUAAUGUUGAUCCAGUAAAUUCAUUUGAAGCGUGGACAAAGCAAAACUCAAGCAGAUAGCAGAUAUCAGCCAUGGCCUUGCAGUUGCUGAGUACAAGCAUCUGUACUAAAUGAUUCUUCAUGGGAAAAAUUGCUUUUUCUUUGUCAUUAUUUGUAGCUUUUGAAUUCAAGACUCUAAUUAAAAGCAAAGAAAUUGUAUUCAUUUCACUCUGUCUUUUGAUGGUAUUUAAAGCAUGAUUCACCUUUAAUCGCUACUCUAACUUUCUUUUCACUUUUUUCUUAAUCAUCUACUCUAAGUAACGAUUCAUCAAAAUUGAAGUUUACUCAUAGAUAUCAAAAUUUAUCUGAUUCGAGUCAGGCCUUUACAAGAUUAGUUCAAUACUCGUUAGAAGUUUACCAGAGGUUAUUUUAUGUUAAAUCCUAGAUCAUAUAUAGUUCUUUCCUAUAUAUAAAAGUACAUAUUCCCCUCAAAAGCCUUCUUGAAUAUUUCAUAAACACUUGGGUAUUGAUAUAUUGAUUAAGAUAUCAAAUAUGAUGUUUCUUGAAGCCCAAGUGAUAAAGAGAAGAUCAUUAUCCCCAAGAAUAACUCGAAAUAUCAAAAUAUUGUUCAGUAUUCUUGGCACUCAAAUUCAUCAGAAGAAGGCCUGUAUUAUACUACUUUCUAAAAAUAUGUCACUAGCAAUCCACAAAUCACGAAAGAAAUUUAAGAUAAAAAAAUUAAGAAAAAUCAUAAAAUUAUAUUUACGUAAUCUUGAUAAACAAAAUCACUUAUUUAUGUUUAUUUUAUAACUAUAAUUUAUCAUCAAAUUAUAUUUACUUAAUCUUGAUAAUCAAAAUCACUUAUUUAUGUUUAUUUUAUUACUAUAAUCACUUAAAUUGAAGGACAAAAAUAUGAACCAUAACUUCUUGAUUGAAAAUCCGCUAGAAUUCCUGUGACUUGCCUAGAGAAAAUAUGGAAUGUUUCUUUUCUCUAGGCUUGGUAUUACAUGGAUUAAAUUAAAAAAUUAUAUUUUUUAAGGAUUUUCGGUUUGAUUAAUUUGGAUGAUUUUUAUGUAUUUAUUUUUAAAAAUAUUGUUUAGUGAUUUUCUUUGAAAUUUUACAAGAUAGACAUUGAAAAGUAUAAAACACAAAUUAUUUAACAAUAUUUGAUCCUUAGCAUAUGAACAGCAAGGGAAUCAAUUAGUAUUAAAUAACUGUCUACAUUUUAUUUUGAUAACAUGUUAGACGUGCGAAUUUAUUAAUCUUAUUGUCUUGUUGCAUUAUGCUUUUAUAGGAAAGAAAAAUGCCAAGAUUGUCCUGUUGAGAGAAUUUCAACAACAAUAAGCUUUCCCACACUGAGAGAAUGAGUACCACAUUUUUUGGUGAAGAACUAAUUCUUCACAUGAAUCAAAAAUGUUGAACUAGUAAUCAGUGGCGGAGUCUGACUUUUGGUUAAGGGUGUUCAUAUUAUCCCUUGGGCAAAGAACUGUUUAAAAAACAAAGUAAAUAAAGCACUGCUGUACCUGCCAAGGUUUAAACCCGGGUUGUUGAUGCAGAAAUGCACACUCUUGACCACUGGACUAUGUUUCUCUAGCUUGUCAAGGGUGUGCAACAACAUGUAUAUAACCAUAAAUAUCUAUAUUUAACCUAUAUACUCGAAAAAAAAUUCCGACGAAAGGUGUUCAUCUAACCACCCUUCGUCAGCUGUGGCUCCGCCACUGGUAGUAAUAGAUAAUUAUAGAUAGCAAAACUGACUAUUCACAGAGAAUACUUGUGACAGUCGCGGAGCUCACCGAUGAAGAAAAGAGCGGUGGCGGUGGCUAUUUGAGAAGGAGAGAUGGUGGCGAUGCUGUUUCACCGAUGGCGGCGCUAGGCGGCUGCUAUUGGGGGAUGAACGGAGGGAGGUGGAGCAGCGACGGAGGUCGAAAAUGAUUUUAUUUUAGAGAGAAGGUAGAGAAGAGAGGGUUUGUAGAGAGAGAGUGGAGAGGCGGUUGUUUUUUUUUUAGAAUGAAGGAUUAGGGUUUUGUUUUUUUUAAAAGGAAAAAAGUGGGUGCUUUGGAUCUCAGCCGUUGGAUUAUUUUGAUCAACGUCUGAGAUAAAACAUGAUUAAAAAUAAGAUUAAAAUUGAAAUUUAAUUUAUGGCCAAAUUAAGGUCAAUUUUGACUGUAAUUGACACCAAUUGAGUAUAAAAUUACCUAAAAAUUAAACACCAAAGAGAAAUUGAAUGGAAUUGACUGUUAUUUUAACAAUAAUAAUAGUAGUAGAUAAUGCAUUUAAAAAUUGUGAGUGUGCGUAUGUGAGAAAUAAUUUAAUUAGUUUCUACUAUUUCUAUUUUAUGUAUAUUUUCUUAUUGUUUAAACCAAAAAUCGAACCGUUAAGGACUAAAAAUCAAUAAACUAAAAACCAAUAAAAACACUUUAUUGAUUUGAUUAUUGGUUUAAUAUGUUUAAAAAUUGCUAACCGAUAAACCAAACCGAACCGACCGAUGCACACCGCUAAUUUCAAGAAAAAAAAUAGUGAAAAUUGAUUUUAAUAUUGACCGUUGAUCAAAUAUGAUGAAUGAUUGAGAUUAAAAUUGAGGAGAUGAGUCAAAUUGGGAUUAGAAAUUGGGUUAAAAAAGAUUGAAUUGGAGAUUUCGAUUACGUUAAUACAACGUAUUAAUAUGAUGAGUUAUCGGUUAAUUAGCUUCAUUAUUAUAACUUCAAUAGUGUAUUAUUAUCUCGAUCAUAUGAUGUUAAUGUAUUUUUCAAAAUAUUUAGAUAUAUAGAUUCAGUUAGCUAGCUUUUAACUAUUAUAUACAUCACUAUACGAGAGAUACGUAUUUAUUUAUACAUACAUACAUAUAUAUAUAUAUAUAUAUAUAUAUAUAUAUAUAUAUAUUUGAUUGACUAUCAACUUUGUAAUAUGUACUAUAUACAUCAUAUACACGAGUAUAUUACCUCGUAAUACAACAUAUUUUAUUUCUACUCUAACGAAUUAUCAUUUAAUUUAGCUUACAUUAUUAUAUUAUAACCUCAAUAAUAUAUUAUUACCUUGAUCAAUCGAUCGUAUGAUAUCAAUGUAUUCAAUAUAUAUAGUUGAUUGACUAUAAACAUUACAAUAUAUACUAGAUACAUCACAUACACAUAUAUAUUACCUCAUAAUACAAUGUAUUUCAUAUAUACAAUGAUAAAUUAACGUUUAAUUUAGCUUAUGUUGUUAUAUUAUAACUUCAACAACAUAUUAUUUUCUUGAUCCAAUCAUAUGAUAUCAAUGUAUUCAAUAUAUAAUUGAAUACAUUUAAUUUUUUUUAAAUAUAAAAAUUAUUUAUUUAAUAGUAAACUAAAAAUAUCAAAUAUCGACAGACAGUGUCAUUUUCAUAAAGUUAAUUUUAUUUAUUUUUAAAAAUAUGAAAAAAUAAAAAGAUAUUUAAAAAUUGUGACAGAUAACGUCGCUUUUCUAUAAUUAAUAUUUUAAAAAUAAAUAAUUAUAGCGAUGUUGUCCGUCGAUUUUAAUAAAAAUAAAUUAAAAUAAAAUUUUAAUUUAAAAAGCGACGGACAACGUCCCUUUUCAAAAAAUUAAUUUUUAUUUAGUUUUAACAAAAGAGACGUUGUUCGUCACUUUUUGUAAAAAAUAAAAAAAUAAAAAAAUAUUACAAAUUACGAUAGACAACGUCUCUUUUCUAGAAUUAAUAUUUUAAAAAAUAAAAACUAUAGCGACGUUGUCCGUCGCUUUUAAUAAAAAUAAACAAAAAUAAAAAUUAAAUUUAAAAAGCGACGGACAAAGUCACUUUUUAAAAAAUUAAUUUUUAUUUAGUUUUAACAAAAGCGACGUUGUCUAUCGCUUUUCGUAAAAAAUAAAGAAAAAUUAAAAAUUAUUACAAAUUGCGACGGACAGCGUCGCUUUUCUAGAAUUAAUAUUUUAAAAAAUAAAAAUUAUAUAGAUGUUGUCCGUUGCUUUUAAUAACCAAAUUUUAAAAUUGACGGUCUAUGUCGCUUUUCAAAAAAAUAAUAAUUAUUAUUUUUAAAUUAAUUACGACGCUAUCCGUCGCAUUUAUUAAAAGAAAUUAUAAAUUAUUUUUUAAUUAGUUGUCACAAUAAUCCACAAAAAAAGCGACGAAUAUUAAGACGUUGUCUAUCGAUUUUAAUAAAAAAUAAAUAAAAAUUAAAAUUAAACUAUAAAAACGACAGAUAGUGUCGCUUUUUUUGCGUCGCUUUUUGACCUUUUUUUUAGUAGUAAUGUUUCAAACAACCAUUAAAGAAUACAUAAUUACCAAGUAAAUUGACAAAAUAUUGUAAUACUUAAAGUAAGAAGUGUGCAACAUGCCUUUUUGACAGAUGAAAUUUGAGAAGAACUUGAAUUUAAAUCCUUGAAAGUUGAACUUUGGGAAAGAACCCUUAUCUGGUGUUCUUGAUGGUUUCAGAGAAGAGUAAAUCAUGUAUUUAGCUUAAGGGAUGAGGAAAAACACAUUAGUAUUAGUUGUAGGAUGAUUUAGGACAUAAAUGACUUGUUCGCCCUUAAAAAACUAAAGAGAAACAUCAGUUUUAGCGACUCUAGAAACAUAGGUGUGCUAUGCCCUUAACGCGGAGCAUACAGGGCGUGACAUUCUCUUAUCAAGGAGCAUACAGGGCGUUCCACGCCCUUGUUAUGUACCUUCACUGAUUCGAUCACAAAAAUGCUCAUAACUUUUUGCUCGAGUAUCCGAUUAAGGAAAUCAGAUGCAUUAAAAAGAAGACUCAAUUGCCUUUCAUUUGGUGGGUCUUGAACUCCAAAACUCAAUAUAUUCUAGAAGUUAUAUACAUAUAAAAAUGACUCUUGUAGGAUCAUAUAUCAAAAUUCAGUCGAUAACAAAAGUUCUCAACUCAACUUUACUCUAAGUGUUCCCUAUGAACAUUCUUCACAUCGAAAGCACUUUACACACUAGGUAAAUGAUCAUGACACUUAUAUUUACACAGAAAUAUUUGUGUUCGUAUUUAUACAAGUAGAAAUGACGGUUCAAAUUCUAACUUGAAAACAUAAGGUGUUACACCUUAGACACUACAUGAGUUAUAAUAGUAGUAAGGAUUUGCUUGACUUUGUACUUAUAUGUGAGUUGAAAUCGCAUUGAGAAGAUAUAUAGAUCGCGUGUCACGCCAACAUUGUUAUGCAGAUCGGGUGUCACACCGACAUUGCUACUGAAAUGAGUGUCACACCGAUACUGGUAUAUGAACUAAGCUCAUUCUUUAUAGAUCAUAGCUGAGCAUCCUUGUCGACUCUAUUAUCUGUGUAAAUUUUGCAUGCAUGAAAUAAUCAUUUCAUUUGUACUUAUAAUUGCAAUGAUUAUUAUUAAAGAAAUCUGCCUAAGUAUAAUUAAUAUGCUCAGGAUGGCUAGUUUUUAUUGGUUUGAUUUCGCCACAAAUGUCCUCAAUAUUACUCAUAAGAGGAAGCUCGAAGUCCUUAUUGCAAAUAUAACCUCCCUUAAAAUUGUUUACAAAAUCUGAAAAAAAGAUUUAAAAAACAUAUAUUAAUGAUGUAAAGAAGAGAUGGCUUAGCUUAAGGAAGAAGGAGAUCGACAUGCAAAGACAGAAGCCCCGGCUGUUGAGGUUGAUCUUUUAUAGAGUCCUCAUAGCCACUCUUCCUUCUACAUCAAUUAAAAGUAUAGAUCAUAAAAUGCAAUAAAGAGAGAAAAUAAAAGUAUUUUUGUGGUGUGUUGUUUGGGGGGGGGGGGGGGGGGGGGGGGGGGGAAGAGGUGAGUAUUAAU